rnacentral:lncRNA from 1 species
UUUUUUGUCCUAACAGGUGGCAAUGGUGGACUUGGUGGCUUGUAAGGCGGUGCUGGAGUUGUUGGUGGCUUAACUGGAGGUGUAGGAACUGGGGGCUUAUAUGGGGGAGUUGGUGCUUUAGUUGGCGGUGCUGGUGCUGGAGUUGGUGCUUUGGUUGGGGGUGUUGGGGGCUUAUAUGGGGGAGUAGGGGCCUUGACUGGAGGUGCCGGUGCGGGAGUAGGGGGUUUAUAUGGGGGAGUAGGAGCCUUGGUUGGUGGUGCUGGUGCUGGGGGCUUAAAUGGUGGAGUUGGAGCCUUGGUUGGUGGUGCAGGAGCUGGGGGCUUAUAUGGUGGAGUAGGAGCCUUGGUUGGUGGUGCAGGAGCUGGGGGCUUAUAUGGUGGAGUAGGAGCCUUGGUUGGUGGUGCAGGAGCUGGGGGUUUAUAUGGGGGAGUAGGAGCCUUGGUUGGUGGUUUAUAUGGUGGAGUGGGGGCCUUGGUAGGGGGUUUGUAUGGAGUGGGGCCCUUAGUUGGGGGUGCUGGAGUUGGAGCCUUGUACGGCGGCACCGGAGUGGUGGGAGGCUUAACGGGUGGAGCAGGGAUAGGUGCCUUCACUGGAACAGGAGCAGCAUACUUAAUCUGAACAGUGAUAUGCAACAAAUUUAGCAAAGUUCCAUUUACAGACUAUGGUCUUAUGCACCACAAUGGCUAAUAGCAUUCAGUAUGAAAAAAUACAAGAAAUACAUUAUCCAAAAAGAAAAAACAUGAAUCAGAUUGUUUCAAAAGAACCAAGUUUAAGAUUGUUACAACCUAGACAAGACAAAACAGUAAAAUAAAUGAUUGAAAAAUCACCUCAGUCUUCACUCCCACUUCAUUGGAAGCAACCUACAAAAAAAGGAAAAAAAGAGAGUUGGAUAAACAUCAAGAACUAAAAACUCUUUGUGGUUAAGUCAAAAGAUGAGAAAGGAAGUAGAGUCAUACUGUUGUUGAAACAAGCAGAAAAGUGGCCAAUAGUAACAGCAGCAGAGCUUUGACAGCCAUUGGUGAGAGCUCACACUAACCUUUGGUGCAUUGGUCAGACACUGGGUUGUGGUUUAAAUAGAGAUUGCAGCUGCUAUUUACUUGGUCCAAUAAAUGCUGCUUGCCAGCUUCACCAGAUCACUGACGCCUUAGAUAAAGAAAGUAAAAAUCAAAUUUUAUUUAAAAAAAGCAUUGAAGUUUUUAUUUUUAUUCAAUUCAAUCCAACUACCCUUGUUAAUUUAAAAGUUAGCCCUCUGCCCAAGGACUGUGUCUGCUAAAGUGGUGGUUUAUCUAAUAAAAGAAAGCCAUUUCAUGUCCAUAUUUAAUUAACCGACACACAAAAUCCGACCAUUCGAGGCUUUGGGUCAUAAGCUUGCCUGAUAAUGUUUAAGAUUAUAUAAUAUGAUAUCCAUGUAUUUACAUUAAGAUUUUUUAAAAUUUUUUAAAAAGUUUUAUCGGAAUAUUAUCUUAGUUCGAAUAUAAUUAGGUUUAUAUGUCGUAAAAUGAAUAUAGACACUUAUAAAUAUAAGAAUAAAAAAGAUGUUAAGAAUUUUUUAAAAUUUUGAUAUUAAGUAAAUUAAUUUUUUAAAAAUAAUUUGAAAUAAUUUAAUCUCUGUCAAUUUAGAAAGUGAGCACUUAGAGACAAUUAAUAACAUUUAAAAGAACUAAAGUUAAUCUUCAAAGUUUGAACAUCUUCUUUAUAUAUAUAAGCUAAUUAUAUAUUUUUUAGAAUUAGAAUCAAUUUGAUAGAAUCUAUAAAUAUUAAAAGCUUAAUUUGUUAUUAUAUCAAUAAAAAAUUAUGUACAAUUAAUGAAACACAUUAUUUAUCAUGAUUAAAUAUUCUUAAUUAUGCACUUUUAAAAUUAACAAUGAUUAAAUUAUUUUGAUUUUUGUGAGAGAUCAAUUUAGGGUUUUUUACAUUAUUAAUAUGAAAACAAUUAAUUAUGAAAAUGGGUAAAAAUCGGUAAGUUUCUUCAUAUCAAUAAUUGGAUUUCAUAUUUCUAGAUUAUUGCUAUUUAACAAUAAUCUUUCGUCUGAUUAAUCAAUCUUUUAUGGUUGCUUGCUGAAUUCUUGAAAAUCUUCACAAAUCUUGAUUCAACUGUUAAUUCGAGCGUAUUUUUCGUUGAAUGACUGCGAUCGAGUGUAUUUUCAAUUGUUAAUUCGAGUGUGGUCAUUUACAAUUGAAUCGGAGAAAAUCGUGUCUAGGAAUAAGGCCACACGGUCUGCCACACGAGUGGACCACACUGUAACACCCCCUAACCCUAAAUCGUCGCCUAAAUAGGGUUACGGAGCAUUACCGGACAUAUCAGAUAACUUAUAACCAAUUUAAACAUCAUUCUACAACCAUAACCACAAGACUCUUAUACUUAACCUAUACAUCACCUAGGUACAUGCCACAUUAUCAAAACAAAGGUACAUCACUAAAAUUUCUCUGAGGUCGGGAUUGUUCUGGAUGCUGGACCAGACACUGGCUUCCUACUAACCUGCGCAUAGAAACAACCGUACGCUGAGUAUGGGUAUACUCAAUGGUAUUGCCAUAAUUCAAAUUUAUAACAUUAAUCGAUAAAUUAUAUACAUUCAAUUUAUGCCUACAAUUAUUCAUUAAUUAUCUCAUACUUUAAAUCAACUUGAUCAUUAAUAUCAAUAGGCAAUAUUUUUCUAUCUAUCAAUAAGCAAUAUUUCACUAUCUCAAUUUCUUUGGAUUUUCCACAUCUCAUUCCAAUAGUUCAUUUCAAUUCAUAUAAAAUUUAUUUAAUUUAUCACUAUAUUCAAUAUCAAUUCUAUUGCAAUUUGUACUCAUUAAUAUCAUGUAACAAAAAUUUACUCUUAAUCAAAUCAUGAACUUUGGGUUCAUGUCUUCAAAUCUCAUAUCUCGAUUUCCAAUUCACAUAUCAAUUCACAAUUUCACUUUCUCAUUUCUUUCCAUAGCUCAAUCAAUCACACUUAUUCAAAUUUUCUCAUUUCAAUUAUUUACCCCUAUUAACAAGACUCGGACCUUGGCGGAUACACGGAUCCAACCAAACACACCAGUACGGCACAUUGUGCCUAAAACGGUACAUAGUACCUGAUCAGUAUACGACACAUAAGUGCCUGAAACGACACACGAGGUGCCUGAAAUACGACACAUAAAGUGCCUGAUAUACGACGCAUAAAGUGCCUGAUCGACAGAACCGAUAAAUCCCGUACUCUUCCAAAUCCUAUGGCAUGCCAAUUUAAUCACAAUUUCAAUUCAAUCACUUUCUCAUACUUUCAAUUCAAAUCAUUCCAAUUUAAUCACAAUUCAAUUCAAUACAUUUUCCACUUUCCAAUCAAUAUACCAUCAAAUGCUCAUACAUAUUAAUACUUCAUUUUAAUUUCAUUUAAUUCACAAUUUCUUAUGUUCACAGUUCAAAUAAAUUUUUCAAUCCAAUAUGCAUUUCAAUACCACAUUAAAUUUUUUAAUUCAAAUCAUAUCACUAGUAAUUUCCAUUCAAUUCAAAUACAAUUCAAUAUCAUUUAAUUCAAUAUCGAUAUUCACCUUAUUUUUAUUUACUAAACAUAUUAUUCAAAAUUCAACAAUUGCUAUUAAUAAAUUCAUUACCAACACGUAUUUAUCAUUCAAUUCAAUCGUGAUACUUACCUCAAUUUGCUUAUCAUGUAUAUUAAUUUAAAUUUUAACAAUUAAUAAUUAAAUUCGAAUUAUGGUAAUACUAACCCAGAUUUCAUAAUUACUCCUCGAUAACUUUCCCCUCUCCUUUUUGUGCCGAUGCCUCGGGUUCUUUGCUAGCUACGAAAAUAAUAAUAAUAAUAAUAAUAAUAAUAAUAAUAAUAAUUGAAUUUCUAUUCAAUUUAUACCUUAAUUCCAAUUUAAGCCUAAUUAGCUCAUUUACUUUUCUAAUUCAAUUCAUACUUUAUUUCUAUUCAAUUUCCUUCCAUAUUCUACUUAACUAUCUAAUGUUCAUAAUAAAACCCCAAUUUAAAACUUCUUUCAAUUUAAUCCCUACCACACAAAACUUAUAGCCUAAUUUACAAUUUAAUCCUUUAAUCAAUUCUAAUCAAUAAUUAUAUCAAUUAAACCCCUAAUUCAAACAUUUGUUCAACAUGAACUAUACUUAAAAACCUAUAAACGUCCAAAACCUCAACUUAAUUUCAUCAAAACUUUGUUUUAAAACUUCUUAAACAUCAAAAUUAAGUAAAAAAGGGCUUAAUUGACUUACCUUUUAAAGCUUUAAAACGUUAAACCCUAGUUUUUCCUUUUAUUUUUCUUUUCUCCUUUCUUUUUCCCACUUUCGAAUGGCCUUCUGCUUCUUUCCCUAUUUCGUUUCUAACUUCUCUGUUUCUAUUUGUUUUCAUUUAUUUCUUUUAUUUAAUUAAUAAUAAUAUAAUAUAUAAUUAUCUUUUACUUAAUUAAUAAGUAUGUACAUAUAUUAAUUAUAAAUGUAUACAUAUAUUUAUUAUACAUGUAUUUAUAAUUACCACACACUUAUCACUUUUUAUGGUUUAAUUAUUAUUUUAGUCCUUUCACCUUUCUCUAUUCUAUAAUUAACUUUCACACUUAAUUCCAUUUAGUCCUAAUACUCAAUUAACUUUAAUUCAACUAAAUUCACUUAACUAAAAUCCAAUUGAUCAUAUAACUAAUUCUAUAAAUAUUUUUAAUAAUUAUUUUACAAGUUCGUUUUACCAAAACAAAGACCCGAUAAUUCACUUUCUAAUGCCUACACUUUUUAGAUCAUUACACACACAAUCUAUUACACGACUAUGUACCCUGGAAACCUUAGUGUAGUUUAUAAAUCACAUGGCCUACCACACGACUGUACCUCCCUUGUAGCUUAAUUUUGCAAUAUCCACACGACCACAAUCUAUUACAAUUUUGCCCAAAAAUUUAUGUUAUGUUUAGUUUAGUCCUUGUUUGAUCCUUGAAUUGUUCCUAGAAGUUUCCGUCCACUUAAUUGAUCAUUGAAAUAGUGUUUAUAAGGAAAUCUACAAUUUAUAUGCCCAAAUUGCUACUGUUAUAAUCUGUUUAUUGAUAUUGCUUAACUGAAUCAUUAUAGUGCUAUGAAUAAACAUGUGAUAUUAAUCAUGUCUACUGUCAAUGUGUUAUUGAUAAAUUGUGAGUGUUCAUACUGUUAUCGCCCCAUUAAUACAUGAUGAACAUGUCUAUUGCUAGUGUUGAACGAAAUAAGUGUUAAACAUGCCAAUGGAUGUUUGCGUUAUUAUGUUAUAAAGUAUGCCAUAUUGCAGUGCAUAGGGCAGGAUGAUUUGUACAAAGGAAGAGUGACAGUUUAAUAAUCUGCAAACAAGUGGUGGCUUGUCCAUAAACCAAGUGGCAAUUUGUUUAAUUUGUAAAUAUGUUGUGCACCUACAAUAAGUGACUGUAACAGCCCGUUUCUGAGUCUGAUCAGAACAGUGGUUUUAGGACCACUUAACCGAGUCAAAAUAUUUAUUUUACCAUUUUAAUGAGUUUUAUAGUAUGAUAGAAUUAUCGUGUAAAAAUUUCGUAAAGAAAUUUUACCGAUUAAAUGGUUAAUUCGGUAAAAUGGACUAAAUAGCGUAACGCGAAAAUAAAAUAAAAAUAAAAUAUGAGUUCUGAAAUAUAAAUGACUCAAAUAGCUAUAGAAUUAAUGGUGAAAGUCCUUAAGUGGAUAAUAUACCUUUGUUAAUGAUAGUGGACAUUUAUGUCCAUAUUUUACAUGAUUUCUAUAUGGUUUUAUAAAGGUUAAAUAUGUAAAAUAGUUAAUAAGUUAUAAUUAAUUAAAAGACAAAGCCAAAUUAUGUUUUUAUGCAUCAUCUAUAACCGACAUUAAAGAGAAAGAAUAGCCAUUUCUUUAGGGUUCAUUCAGCCAAGCUAUAAUUCUCAAUUAACGUAUGGUUUUUUAUCCAUUUUUAAUGAUUUCUACGUUUUUGAGUUCGUUGUAGCUCAAUCUAGCUAGCCUGUACCUUAAUUUAUGAAAAUUUUGAUGAUUUUGAAAUUUGUCAUUGUUGAAUACGAGUAUAUUUUAAAGUAUUAUGCUAGAUUAUUGAUGGAUAUUGAAAUAUAUACAAGUUUUAUAAAGUGAAUUUUAACAAAAAUGAGCAUUAGGGAUUUAAUUAAAAAAGAUAGAAAUAUUGUGGUUAGAAAUGUGAAAUAAAUGAAAAUAUGGGCUGAUUAGAAGUUAUAUAGUAUUCGGCUAAGUAUAUGCAUAAAGAAAUUUUGUAUAUUUUUUGUAUUUGUGAAUUAGGGACUAAAGUGUCAAAAUGUGGAAAUAUGAGGGCUAUUUUGUAAAAAUGCCAAAAUAUAUGUAUAUGGAUUGAUUUGAAUGAUUUUGUGAAUAAAUGGGUUAAAUUUGAAUUUAUAUAGAUCAAGAUAAACAAAUACCAGAACUUGAUCAGGGGAAACAAAAGUUAGACAGGUAGACAAAAGUAUUCGAGCAAAUACAAGGUAAGUUCGUAUAGCUAGAAUCGAAUUUUUAAAUAUUUGUAAUUGUCCAAAAAAUGAAUUUAUAUAAGUUGAAUGAAUAAUCCACUUGAAAUUUAAAUUAUCGGUAUAAUACUGUUCAUACGAAUGAAAAUGAAAUAUUACAAAUGUUAUAUACGUUACAUGGAUUUGGUAUGAUAAUAUGCAUUGAAUAUGCAAUUUGAGUAUUUAAAUGUAUGUAUUUAGUUAAAUUGAAUAUGUAUAUAUAUGAUUUGAGAAAUUGAGUUAUUGAUUACUGAAUGCUUAAAUGAUGAAGUUGGAUUAUAUCGAGCCCCGUUCGAACUUUAGAAUAUUGUCGGAUACGAGUGACCUGUCACUAGGGUUAUCAUUUGGUCGAGCUUCAGCAUUUGUUGCGGACUCACCACAACUCGUAUGAGCUUACCAUUUUAGCUCUACGGAGCUUACCGUUCAACUCGAUAGAGCUUAUCGUUUACCGGCUCAAGAGGAGCAUACCCCUCGUGGCAUGAAAGAGCGUAAAUGAUGAUGAAUUGAUGGAUUUUCGAUCUAUACACUUAGUGUGUAUCACCUGAGUAUCCCUCGAUAUUUCCGUAGGUUCAACGGGUAUUUUACCAAUAUGUGUUGUAAAGAUUCUAUAAUAUAAAAGUUAUAUGAUUUACAUGGUUUAUAAGUUACAUAAAAUACAUGAUUUACAUGGUUUAUAAGUUAUAUGAAAUACAUGAUUUACAUGGUUUAUAAGCUACAUGAAAUACAUGAUUUACAUGGAUUAUUUGUUAUAUGAAUUUAUGAAUUAUAGGGAUGAUAUGAUACAUUUAGCUAUGACUUGGAUUGAUUUUAUGAUAUAUGAUUUAUAUGAAUUGAGGAAUGAAUUUGGAUGUUAAAAGAAUGUUAUAUGUUUGGUUUCAUUUUAUGAAUGGAUGAAUAUAUGGAUGUGAAAUGACUAACUUGUGAAUAGUGAUGUGAAUAGGCUUUGUGGACAAAUGAGUUGGUUUUCAUUGCUUUAAUGCUUAAUGUUAAAUUGGUAUGUUUAAUUCUAUAUUAUACGGGCUUACUAAGCUUAAUGCUUACUUUGUUUAUGUUCUUAUGUCCUAUAGAUUUCGGAAGCUAACUCGAUUUCAGACGAGUUCGGAGAUUUGCUAUCACACUAUCUAGACGAUAUUUGGUACUUUUAGAUCUUAUGUAAAUAAUGAAAAUGUGGCAUGUAUAAGCUAAUUUAUGGAUUGAAUGAUAUGGUCACUUAUGUUGGUGAAUGUGGUAUGAAUUUUGGGGUUUGAUCAAGCUAUGUGAUAUGGCUUGAGUUGGAAAUGUUUGGUUUAGUAUGGAAGCAUUAUGUGUUAUGCUCAUUUUACAAUAAAUUUGAUAAAUGGUAUUUUGGAAUAAAUGAGGUAUGAUUAGGGAUAUGUUGGUAUGAACGGUGAUAUGUGAUUGAAUUGUAAAGGGAUAUUUUGAGGCAUAUAUGUGACCAACCAAAAUGGUCAUUUUGGUAUGUGUUUACUUGUGAAUUUGGUAAGAUUUUGAUAUGGUUUAACAAGGUUUUGGUAUGUUUUAUAAUGUAUUGAAAUGAGAUAUGAACAUAUGUUUGGAAAUGAAAUUGAUAUAUGAAAUUGACAUUGAAUUUGGUAUGUUUGAGAUUGUAUUUAAUAAAUGUUCAAUGUUUUACUGUUCCGAACUGAAUUAAAGGUCCUAUAAUACCUCUUACCUAUUUUGGUGACGGUUACGGGAUAGGGGUGUUACAUUUAAUUGGUAACAAAGCUAUAGUUUAGUCGAUUUUAGGACUACCGUAGUGCAUACGAGUCUAGCUAUACAUGUCAUAUUUAAAAUGCGAUAGUGUGAUAUCUCCUGACAGCUUCUGAAUUAUGUUUUAUAUAGUAAAUGGAUCCAAAUCGAGCAAUAGCCGACGAUGUAGAAAGUAACGCUCCAGCUUCCACUCAAGGAACAGCGCCUUCCAAAUCGAGCCAUGCUACGGGCGGUCAGGGAGAAGCUAAACAAGCUUUCUUCCAAAUGAUAUCUGAAUGGUUUUCUAAAUUUGUUCGAGCAAACCCGGUUGCUCAACAAUCUCCACCCCUUCCGGUUCCCCAAUCAAACCCUAAAAAUAUACGAGGUACAAAUCAUUUACGAUUGAAUAGACCUCCUAUUGAUAAGAUACAGAAAUACGGGGCCGAAGAAUGCAGAGCUUCAGCUAGUGAUGAUGCUGAUAGGGUCAAAUUUUGGCUUGAAAAUACGAUCAGGAUUUUCGAUGAAUUAGCCUAUACACCGAAAGAAUGCUUAAAAUGUGUUAUUUCAUUGUUGAGAGAUACAGCAUACCAGUGGUGGAAUACUCUAAUAUCUGUUGUUCCGCGAGAAAGAGUUAUAUGAGAAUUUUUUCAGACUAAAUUUUGAAAGAAAUAUAUUAGUUAGCGGUUCAUCGACCUGAAAAGAAAAGAAUUUCUUGAUCUGAAAUAGGGUCGUAUAACGGUAACUGAAUAUGAAAGAGAAUUCGUACGACUCAGUAAAUAUGCUCGUGAAUGCAUUUCUACUGAAGCUAUCAUGUGUAAAAGGUUCGAUGAUGGGCCGAAUGAAGAUAUUCAAUUGUUAGUUGGAAUGCUUGAGCUGAAAGAGUUCGUUGUCCUGGUUGAUAGGGCUUGUAAAGCCGAAGAACUUGCCAAAGAGAAACGAAAAGCUGAUUUUGAAGCAAGAGAUUCUAGAAAGAGAUUCGCGAGUAAAUCGCAUCAGUCUGGAUCAAAGAAAUCUAAAGACUUCCAUCCUCAUUCCACUGCUUCUGCGGGUACAUCAAUCAGAGAAAGAGAUGCUCGAUCGUUAAAACUGAAGCCCUGAAUGACAUCCGUUGCUAGUAUGGGUAGCGUGAGAAAUACGGGAACUAAUUGCAAGCAUUGUAACCGAAAGCACUAUGGUGAAUGCCGAUUGAAAAAUGGGGCAUGUUUCAGAUGCGGAUCGUUAGAUCAUUUUUUACGAGACUGUCCGGAGAGAUCUAUUGCUGAUAGAGAGCAAUCAAUUAAAGUGAGUAAUACUAUUACCAGGGGUAGACCACCCCGAAAUUUGCUUACUCCCUCUUUUUAUUUCUAUCUUUGUAGAUAACCCACCAGGUUAGGACGCAGACUCGACAUACGGAAGACUCAGCUGGUUUUUUUUAAGAAGUAUUUUGAAUUUAUUAUUUAAAAUUUCUAUUAUUUUAGGAACUGCAUCACUUAAUCUAAACUGUGGUAUGAGACUUAGGUUUUGAUUUUAUAUAACAUGCGUGAUAUUUAAUUUAUUUUUCUUAAAAGCUGAAAUAUGGAUUUUAAUUAAUUAUGCAUGAAAUAUAGAUUUUAUUAAAACUAAUAAAAUAUCACUUUUUUGCAUAAUUAUGAAUUAAAAAUUAACUAAAAUUUUCUUUUAGUGAUAAUGAAAAUUUAAAUAUGAAUGUUUUGUAAAACUUUGAUCAUACUAGGCCAUUUCGGUGGCCGGUGUAAUAUCCUGAAUUGGGUCUAACGUUUAGGCCAGGUUGAAGAGGUCACAUUUGGUGGUAUCAGAGUCAAGUUUACAAAACUCGGACUGUGCAAAUUUGAAUGAGUCUGCAUGCAUACAUUGAAAAGGGCUAUUUUGGGAAAAUCAUGCCAUAAGUUUUUGAAAAAUUAAUUUUCUGAAGGAAAUUAAAUCCGAAACUUUGAUGCCAACUAUAGUUAUUGUUACUUUUGAGACUUUAGAUGAACUGAAAUCUUUAGACUGCAGAUAUACUUUAGCUAAUGCUUGAACUUUUAUGUGAAAACUGUAUAUAUACUUUAGAUCUUAAAUUUUUGAGAAUAUAACGAACACUCAAGGUAGACGUGGUAGGGGUAGGCCGUGUAAAGCUACACUUGUAGAGCCGCCCACUAUUCAGAAGGAAAACCCAAUCCUCGAGGAGGAAUAUAAAAAUGAAAAAAAUGUUUGAAGAUUGUUUGUGAGAAUUUGUUUUAUUAUAUGCAAAUUUGUGGGAUAUUCAGGAUGGUUUAGAGAUUGCAUGAUAUAAUAUAUGUCAAUAAUGACAGUAGGAAUGAUCGCAAAGCAAUAAGAAAGAAAAAUAAGAACACACAAGUUUUUACGUGAAAAACCCUUUUCGAAAAAAACCUCGGCAGAUGAAGAGAAAUUCACUAAUGUUGAAAAACCACAAUAUACAAGAUUUUUGACGAUACACAUUUUAAGGGUUAAACAACCCUGUUAUAAUUAAUGUCUAAUAGAAGAUGUAUAGUCCUAUACAAAUUCAACUUGUGUGGCAUGGUCCGUACUUCACCCCCACAGAUCUCCUAUUUUGUCUCUCUAUUUUAUUCUUUUAACAAGUGAGUUGCACCUCAAACUUUCAGACCAGAUCAAAUGAGAUUCGGGUCACCCAACUCUAACAUUGCACUUGAUAGAGGACUUGACAAAUUGAUUAUUUUAUCAAACAAUCAAGAAGCGGUACAAGCUUUACAGGGCAGUACUACAGAAGUGUCGAAUUCCGCAUUGGUUAAAAGAAUAAAAAAUGUUAUUAGCUAAAAUGGUGCAUUGGUCGAUUCAUCAUUUUUCCAUAAAUUAUAAUAAAGUAGCUGAUAAUCUAACUAAAAUGUCUCUUAGUAAUAUAGAUGGUAUCCAACUAUUCUCUAAAGAAUCUUGGAUGUAAGUAGUUCCGUGUAAUGUUUUUUAUUAGAAAAAAUGGAGAGGAGAAAUAUAAAAAUGAAAAAAAAUGUUAGGAAAUGAGUGAAUGAGGUCACUUUCAUGAGCUGAAAAGCUUCAAAAGGGAAAAAGUGAGUUAUUUUAAUCAUUGUACUACCAUUUAUAUUGAUUGAGGAUGAACGUGGAUGCAUUCUUUUGCAUACAAUAUAGCAUGUGUUUCCCUUAUACUCUCAUUUCCAUUUAACCACAUUUUCCAGAGUUUUCAUAUAAUCGGGACCGACUAUUUAAUUUUUCAUUAUUACAUAUAUGAAAUAAUUUUUAUCUAAUUUAUCAUAUAUUUAUUAUUUAUUUUGACUGAAGAAAAAAAAAUCAUAUUUGUUUUAUUUAUAUAGUUUUCAUAUUUUUAUAUUAAAAUGUAAUAAUUCCAUUAGAUUAUAACACAUCCAGUGAACAAAUUAUGUAAUAAAAAGUUUACAUAAUUAAUAAUUUAAGUUUUAGUUAAAAUAGUAAUAUUUAAAUAUUUAAAGCCUUAAAUGUUUUCAAGUUUAAAUUUUAAUUUGUGUAUAUUUUAUAAAAGAUAUAAAAUAAUAAAAAUAUUUUUAAAAUAAUAUAAUUUACAUUAUAAAAUAAACAUAUUUUCGUCAUUAGUCAAGUGCUUAAUAUACAUGAAUAGAUUUCGUUCAUCCAAUUCCUCGAAAAAAAAAGUAGAAAUAAAAAAUAAACAGUAAUCUAUUAAUAGCAUAUUCCACUUUCAUCCAAAUCCAGUGGUUCUGGAACUUGACGGUAAUCGGUAUCGUGAUGUGUGAAUUUUUUUGGGGGAGGAUUAUUUUAUUAAUAAAACUAUUAGUGAAUUAAAAUAUUUGGUUUUAGAAAUUUAGUCCUUUUAUUUUAAAAUUUUGUUUAAAUUUUUGUAUAUUUUGAAAUUAAAAAAUAUUACUUGGUAGUAAUAUACAUGAAUCUAAAUAAUAUUAACAAUUAGAUUUGUAUUUUCAAAUUUAAAAAUAUACAAUAACUAAAUUCUUAAAAAUAAAUUCAAAUUUAUGAAAAAACCACAGGGACUCGAACCAUAUUUUAACCAAAUUAGUAUUACCAAACCGCAAGGGUCAAAAUGAAAAAUAAAAAAAAAUGGAGUGGGAUAAGGUACUGAAGAUGGCAUCCGAUGCUUUAUAUGGAAGAAAGAAAUAAUGAAUGGCACUUGUUUGGUAAUGCGACAAUAAUCUAUCAAAUCUUCCUGUUUUAGGGCCCUUUUCUCAGAAGUCAGAACUUGCCUUUUGUGUGGAUCUUAAGUUAUUGCCAAAUAUUUUAUAUUUAAGGCUUUCAACUUUUUUCAAUGUGCAAUGUGGUAAUUUUUAAAAGUAAAUGUUCGAGUUGAUACACGUACUCCAAAGUUUUAGCGUCAUUUAAAUUGAAUAAAUGAAUGGUACAUCUUGUUAUAGGAUUAAUUUUGAAUUUUGAAUAUGAUAUCUUCAUUUUUAAGCAAUAAACGAAAUUAGGAAGAAACUUAAGUCAACCUAUAAUUAUUUUAAACUUUUGGCACACUAAUAUAUGGCAAAAUAAUAUAGGUACCAAGUUCCAUAUUUUCUUUGUAUAUGUAUCACAUUACAUAUCUGAUGAAAGUUUAAAAAUUAACUGUGGAUGUUCAACUGUAUGCUCCUUGUGUAGCAUUUGUUGUAUGUUCGUUUUUAGUGGCAUUUGAGUGUUUGACUGUUUAUUUUUCAUGGAAGAGGCAUUAGUAGAUCUUCGGUUAACGGAGGAAGGAGACAAUAGGGAGAUGGAAGUUUGGGAGUUUGAACAAGAUGAGGCGGCGGGAGAACCUUUUUCAGAUCUGUGUUUGGUAGGUUGCUUUCUAAUAGCAACUACAAUCAACUUUCAGUCUAUCAGGACUAUGAUGGCUAGUCUGUGGCACCCUUUGGGGGGAAUCUCCAUUACGGAUGUGGGGGAGAAAAGGUUCGUCUUCUAAUUUUACUGUGAAAUAGAUUUCGACAGGGUGGUGAAGGGUGCUCCUUAGACCUUUAAUAAUCAUUUACUUGUCUUUCAUCACUUAACGCAAGGUGAAGAUCCCCUGGAAAUGGAUUUGUUAUAUACAGAAUUUUGGGUUCAAAUUCACAAUUUGCCACUUGGGAUGUUUACGGAAGCAAUAGCUAAACAAUUUGGUGAUUUCAUUGGAGCUUUCAUGGAUUAUGAUGUCAAAGCUAUUGCGGUGGGAUUAAAAAACUACAUGCGGAUCAGAGUUAAAACCGAUAUCCGGGAAUCUUUGAAGCGGAAAAAAGAAACUUAUAGUGGCAAAAAAGAGGUUUUCACCAUCUUCAAAUAUGAAGGGCUGACAAUGUUCUGCUUUUUGUGUGGCAAGCUUGGACAUAGUGAAAAUUGCUGCCCUAAAAGAAUGGUGGCAGGAAGGACGGAGCUUCCCCUUGAAUGAGAUAUCUCACUUAAAGCUCCUCCACGGAGGGCAACGACGGGAAGUAAUUUUUGGUUAAGGGAACCUAUCGAAUUUUGGGGAGGGAAUCAGGAACUUCUAGAAAUGAGGGUGGUAAAGGAGAAAAAAUCUGGCUGAAUUAAACCUGAUGAGGAAUAAUUGAGUAAAUUUGGGGCUAAAUUUGUAUGAGAAGUGAAAACAGAUUAUGAUUGAGGAGGAUAGUAAGACGGAGUCGAUGGAGAUUGGACCUUCUAAAGAAGAUCGGCCCAUUAUUGUAGGAGAUGGGAAAAAGAGGCCUAGGCCCAAUAAUGCUCCAUACGCCUCUCCCAAUGAGGAAUUGAUGUGGAGGACCAGAUUAGGGGAAGAUGAUGACCAAACCAAUUAAAAGGCUAAACCUGCUAGGCAGGUCAGCCAAGCAUUAUGAAAAUGUUGAGUUAGAACGUUCGUGGAUGGGGAACCCGCGAUCUGUUCGGAGAAUUUAGCAUGUGCUAAAAAAAUAUCAUUCUCAAGUUUUCUUCUUUAUGGAGACUAAAGUGGCGAGGUCGAGAAUGAAAAGAAUAAGAAGGAAAUAUGGUUUUGCGAAUGGGGUUGAUAUUUCGGCCCAAGGGUUACGAGUGGGUCUUUCUUUGAGUUAGUUUAGUUCGGUGAAUGUUAUUAUUACGAGCUUUUCAUAGAAUCACAUUGAUGCAAUUUGUUGAUAAUAGUGAUGGGACCACAAAAUAGAGAUUAACGGGGUUCUACGGUAUACCAGAUUGUCGAAGAAGGGCUGAAUCUUAGGAUAUGUUGAAAUGGCUAGGGAUGAAUAAUGAAUUGCCUUGGGUAGUUAUCGAGAACUUUAAUGAGAUUUAAUUUAGCUACGAAAAAUAAGGAGGUUGCUUGAGGGAAGCGAGGCAGAUGGAGGUUUUCAGGUCAACUUUGGAAGUAUGUGAGCUGAUAGAUAUGAGGUACAGUGGUCGUUGGUACACUUGGGAAUGAGGGAAUUUUGAGGCAAAUAAUAUUAAAGAGCGGCUUGAUAGGGGAGUGGCGAAUCUGGCUUGAUCUAAGAAGUUUCCAUCUUACAAGUUCAUUCACAUUGACAACACCAUUUCUGAUCAUUGCCCUUUACUUCUAUAUACAAAUUUCUCGACAAAUCCAGGUAAUUUUUCUAAUUCAGGGUGCCUAUUUUAUUAUGAAACUACUUGGCUAUUAGAAGACUCCUGUCAUGAGCAAGUCAAAUUUCUGUGGAAAUCUAACAAAAAUGUGUCAGUGCCUGAAAGGUUAACAAUGGUAGGCGAGGGUCUACGAAGGUGGGUAAGCCAGUUGAAGAAUGAGAGGGUGCGAUUAUGAAGGAGUUAACAGGGCGUCUGAAUAAGUUGACUGAGGAAGAUCCAUCAGAUGACAUAAUCAAGGCUAUGAUUAAUACUAAACUAGAGCUGAAUUUAGAGAUUGAUAAGGAAGAGCUCUAUUAGGAGCAAAGAGCUAGAACGAAUUGGUUAAGGUAUAGGGAUCGGAAUACUAGCUUCUUCUAUAAUUUUACUUCGAACAGGCAUCUCAAAAACAGGAUUGCUGGGCUGAAGGAAAAAGACAGGUCAAUAAAGGAUGAGGAUUUUAUACGUAUUGCUACUAGUUACUUUAAAGGAUUGUUUUCUAGUGAGGGAAGCAGGGGGAUCAGAAAUUUUUUGAAGGGGUUUAGAAAACGAUAACGGAUGAAAUGAGGAUGUUACAACAUUCUGUCUUGAAGUGCUUAACAGAGAGUUACAGUUGAACGAGGUAAAUUUCAUAACUAUUGUUUUAAUUCCUAAGGUUUCAACGCCAGAUUUUAUGAUAGCUUUUCGGCCCAUAAGCCUAUGUACGGUGCUUUACAAGAUUAUAGCGAAAGUUAUCGCUAAUAGAUUUAAGAGGGUGUUGGAUGUUUGUAUUGACGAAACCCAAUGAGCGUUUGUUCCUGGUUGGCUUAUUACUCAUAAUAUCCUUGCGGCCUAUGAAAUUCUACACACUUUCAAAAAUAGAAGGAAAAUGAAUAAUAACUUUUUUGCUUUAAAGUUAGAUAUGAGUAAAGCGUAUGACAAAGUUGAGUGGGGGUUUAUCACAAGUAUGAUGAGGAGUAUGGGGUUCGAUGAAAGAUGGGUGGAGUUGAUAAACAACUGUAUCUCUUCGGUCUAUUAUACGUUUACGAUCAAUGAAAGAUUGAGUGAGCCUUUCCAACCGGAAUGAGGUCUUAGAGAAGGGGGUCCGUUGAGUCCCUAUUUAUUUCUCAUUUAUACUGAGGGAUUCUCAACAAUCUUUAAACUAGCAAAGAGGGAUGGGUUAAUGCAGGAAGCUCGAGUUUGCAGGGGAGGCCCGAGGGUAACCCAUUUAUUUUUCGCGAAUGAUAGCAUUAUCUUUGGAGAAGCAAAUGAGGAUGGUUGUCUGUUAAUGAAAGGAUUUCUAGAUGACUACGAGAAGGCGUCAGGUUAGAAGAUUAAUUUGGAUAAGUCUCAAAUUUUCUUUAGUUCCAACUGUUCUGAAGAGAUUAAAGAUCUUUUGACAAAUUAUAUGGGUGUUAGGGCAGUUACGAGUGUAGAGAAGUAUUUGGGUCUACCUACUAUGGUGGGGACAAAGAAGAAAGAGGCUUUUCAAAGGCUCUGCGGUAGUUUGAGAAUAAGAGUUAACGGAUGGAGGAGCCGGAUGCUUUCUCAAGGGGGUAAAAAAGUUUUCAUCAAAGCUGUGUUACAGGCUAUACUGAUUUAUUCCAUGUUUUGUUUUCUUCUUCCAAAGUCAUUAUGUGCUUACAUGGAAAAAAUCAUGAAUCGAUUUUGGUGGGGUAAAGGAAGUAAUCGGCGCGGGUUGCACUGGAGUUGUUGGACCGAUUUAUGCCAGGCUAAAGAGAAUGGUGGCUUAAACUUCCGCGAUAUGGGGAAAUUUAACAUUGCUUUGUUAGCUAAACAAGGAUGGCGGUUAGUUACUAAUCCGGAUUCGUUGUUAGCUAGAAUUUGUAAAGCAGGAUACUACCAUCGGUCAAGUUUUUAGGAAGCAAGACUUGGGACUUACCCUUCGUAUACUUGGAAAAGUAUAUAUACAGUACCGGGAUUGUUAGAGCAACGAAUGGGCUGGAGAGUAGGUACAAGAGAGAGUAUCUCGAUCUGGCAUGAUCGUUGGCUGCCGCAAAGGGCUAGAAACAAGGUCAAUACACGUCCCAUUAAUAAUUUGGUCCAAAUAGUGGAUCAGUUAAUCAACAAAGAAAAACGAAUGUGGAAAGAAGAGAUAAUUACUAGUAUUUUUUCUGUUGAAGAUGCAGAGGCGAUCAAAUGUAUUCCCUUAUCUAAAAAUGAAUGUACAGACUGUUAGGUGUAGUGUGGGGAGAAAACAGGUCAAUAUACAGUUCGUAGUGGCUACAAAGAGCUUAUGACCCGAAAUGAUAAUACUGAAAUCCCAGAUAACAUACAAAUGAUUUAUAAAAAAUGUGGUCUCUUUCUAUACAUUCUAAGAUUAAGCUAACGAUGUGGAGAGCGUUACGAGAUUUCAUUCCAACAGGCCAGUUGCUUUUUAACAAGAGGGUUAGAAAUACUACAAGUUGUCUUCGUUGUAAUGCUGAAUCAGAGACGUUUCUACACGUGAUUGCAGAUUGUAACCAAGUCAAAAACAUCUGGGAAGCAAUAGGUAUUUUUUAGUCUAAUAAUCAUAAUUUAGAGACUUUUUGGGAUUGGACUAUUCACCUGGUCUAUGGCAGAGCAGAGAGGUUCUUGGAAAAGGUUGUCAUAGCGGUUUGGGCAAUCUGGUGGGCACGUAAUAGACAAGUUAUAGAAGGUAAAUUAGUAACAAGGCAAGAGACUACGGCAAAAAUUAUAAGUACGCUUGCUGAAAUUGAGGUGUUAAAGGAGAAAUUACCUGUUGUAAGGGAGGUGGACAUAGACCGAUGGAAACCCUCACAAGCAUCGUGGGUGAUAUUAAACUUUGAUGCAGCCUACAAAAUCCAAACAAAAAAGUCAUGCUCUGGAUUUAUCAUUAGAAAUAAAAAAGGGGAAGUAAUGGGUAGUGGAGUUACCCUUCAUACCAAUAUCUUAUAUGCGUUUUUGGCAGGAGCUACAGCCUGUUACCAAGGGCUCAUUUUAGCUAAAGAAAUGGGGUUUGUAAAAAUAGAGGUUGAGGGGGACUCUCGGACGACAAUCGAGAAAAUCAAUUAGGAAGGAAAUAGUAGAGCUGAUCUGGACUCAGUUAUAGCAGCUAAGUUUUUCCUUUAUUUCUGAAGGCAUCUGCAAUUGCGUUAUCCUUCCUUGGCACAUGAGUAAUGCUGGCAUCAGAAUGAUUUCUCUUUGCCUUCAGGUGCGGAAGUGACUGCUUGGUGUGCGUGUGUCCUUGCAAGCAAAGCCAUUGAAAUGUCUUUCCAUCAGAUUAGAUUUAAACAUGUUAGAAGGGAAGCUAAUCGAGUGGCACAUUUCAUCGCUAGGGAGGGGCACGGUAGAUCGGAAAAUACCUUUUGGAUGGAAGACACUCCAGUGGUGGUGAGAGAGAUGGUGGCUGCAGAGGAGAUGAGAAAUAUUCCCCAAACGACUGAAUGAUUUGCUUAGGGACGAUUGGACUGACCUGAUGGUUUUAUUGGCGGCCAUGCUUCAGUCACCUGAGAAGUUUUGAUGGUGGUCUAGAGCUUUCUGUUUUUCUACCGGGUUUCCAUUUUAUUUUUGUUGUUUCAGAUGUCUUUUGGUUUUUUUAACUGUUUAUUGUUGGUUCUUUUUCUUUGGUUUUUUAAUAGAGAUCACGGUUUUAUCAAAAAAAAAAUCAACUGUGGAUAAAAGUACUAUGGAUACCCUUAUAUUAAAGGUAGACAUGUAUUUUGCUUUCUCUACUUAAAAAAUGAGUAAAUUGAUUUUUGUACGUUAUAUUAAAGAGCAAAUUGGUCAUUUUGUUUCAAAAUUUCAUCCAUUUCUACUGUUCAAAUGGUUAAUGUAUGUAAAUAUGAAAUACACGUGCCAUACCCUGUAUAGCUGUCUGGUUAUAAUUCUACCAGCCUCUUCAGAUUUUAAUAGUAAAAACGAAUGAAAAUUUUAAUUAAAUUAACAAAUUACUUUUUAAUUUAAUGUACAAAAAUUAAUUAAUUUAUUUUAAAUAAAUUUAACUCUUAAUAUAAAAAUAGGGUUUUUUUAUUGAAAUAAUACCAAAAAUUUUAAAAAAAAAACACCAAAAUAAUAUCACUUUUUUUAUUUACCAAAAUGGUACAAAAAAAACAUAACAGUUAAAAAAAAAGCUGAAGGGUUAAGUGACAGACCCUGGUAGAGGGCCUGCCACAGGCGGCACCAGAGGUGCCAGUGGCAGAGGCGACACCAGCCCCUUAUAAUGGUCUCCCCACAUUCGGCUGAAGGAGAAGAAAGAAGGAGAAGAAAGAAAAAAGAAAGAAAAGGAAAGGAGAAUAAAGAAAAAGAAAGAAAAGGAAAGGAGAAUAAAGGAAAGGAAAUGAGAAGAAGAAAAAGAAGGAGAAAGAGGCGCAGGAAAAAAGAGAAAGAGAAGGAGAAGAAGAAGAUGGAGGGAAGGAAAGAAAAAGAAAGAAAAAAAAAAGGGGAAGGUAAUUUUUUUUGGUGUUAUUUUAAUUUUUUGUAUUAUUUGUGUAAAAAACCAAUGUUAUGUACAUGAUAUGUUUUAUUAUUUUAUUUAGCAUAUAUUUUUUAUGAAAUUUAUUUAGCAUGUAAAAAAUUCAUGUUAUGUACAUUCUAUGUUGAUUAGAUAUAUUUUUUAUGAAAUUUAUUUAGCAUGUUAUAAUGAGUUUUUUUACAAAAAAUAGCAUUAAAAAUAAAAUACUGAAAAAAUAAAAUACGAAAAUAAAAAAAAAACAAAAAUAGUAUAUUUACUGAAAGAAAUAAAAUUCAAAAAUAAGAAAAAUACGAACAAAGGGCCAAAAUAAGGGUUUUUUUACUAAAUUUAAAAAAAAACACACUAAAUUAAUACAUUUCAAACAUAAUGUAGUAAGAUAAUAUAAAAUAAUAAAAUACGAAAAUAGUAUAUUUUUUGAAAGUAAUAAAAUUCAGGAAAAAAGAAAAAUAGGAACAAAGGGCCAAAAUAAGGUUUUUUUUACUAAAUUUAUAUAAAAAACACACUAAAUUAAUAAAUUUCAAACAUAAUGUACUAAAAUAAUAUAAAAUAAUAAAAUACAAAAAUAGUAUAUUUUUUGAAAGUAAUAAAAUCCGGGAAAAAAUGAAAAAUACGAACAAAGGGUCAAAAUAAGGGUUUUUUACUAUAUUUGUUUUGAAGUUGCAAGCAUCGCAAUGGCUCGAUUGAUUAACGACGAUCCUCACAUAUCUGAUGCGGCUAAUAAUAUGAUAAUAUAUUAUUAUUUGUUAAUCACGAGUUCUAUUAAAAAAAGAUAUACAUAAUAUAUAGAAAUAAAUCAUGUUAUCCUAAUAUUUAUUUUCUGUAAUUUAACACUAUCAGGGCUCGUACCGCAUAUUAAGGGGCCGGGUGAAUGGUAUAGGAUAUCCCCCAGAUGAACGAUUAAUGCCCUACUUGGAGCAAGCUAGAUUCGGGUCAGCAGCAUUGAUCCGGACGUUCGACUUGCAAUACGAUUUAAUAUCUACACUAGUGAAGCGGUGGCGCCCGGAGACUCACAUUUUUUAUUUUUCGUGUGGGGAGUGCACAGUGACUUUAGAGGAUGUUGCACUGCAGCUUGGGCUCCCAAUCGACGGGAGUCCCAUAACGGGAGUAAGUGCAUUUGCUGAGCCGGCUGCACUGUGUUAUAGCCUACUAGGAGACUCGCCCAACGAUGAUGAGUCAAAUUUUUCAGGCUUGAAAUUUACAUGGCUGAAAGGCAAAUUUGGACACUUAUCAGCUAAUGCCACUGAAAGAGAGUUGAUGUGCGCUGCUCGAGCGUACAUCAUGCAUAUUACAGGGGGAGUAAUGAUGCCCGAUUCAAACAACAACAAUGUUCAUAUCAUGUACAUACCUUUAUUAGCUGAUUUGAGUAAUGUUUACUCGUAUAGCUGGGGCUUCGCAGUUCUGGCAGUGUUGUAUCGGGAGCUUUGUCAGACAACAAAGCCUGCCAUCGUAGACAUGGGCGGAUGCCUUACAUUGUUGCAGUCCUGGGCACUUUAUCAGAUGUCAUUCUUGGCAUCAGUUACUCACCAACCAUAUAUAUAUCCACUAGUUAACAGGUGAUAAAAUAUAACUUGUCAUUAAUUGCCAGGAUACUAUAUUGACUGAUGUUACCAACCAUAAUAUAUUUGUUUUUGUAGAUGGAGUAUUUAUUCGGGUAUCGAGAGGUCGUACAAUGUCCCGAUAUACUGUCUGAUGAUCGAACAGCAUGCCAGGGAAGGGGUAAGCUAUUCUAAUAUUCGUGACAUGUUACUUUCUAUAUCUUACUCAAACCGUGCUAAAUUAUAACCAUGUUAUUAAUCAUGCAGAUUAUAUGGAUGUCAUAUCGUAGACCGGAAAUUACAGCUAAUAUACUCUCGUCUGCGUAUGUUCAUUCUCAUAUGUGGUGCACUAACGCACCAGUUAUAAAUUUCAAUGUAGUCGAGUGGUACCAUGGGAAUCGAGUGCUACGACAGCUUGGUUACGUACAAUAUAUCCCGGAUCCGCCAUGCAAUGUGGGGGUGGUUCACGGCAUCAACAAAAGAGGAAAACCGUAAUUGAAUUCGGAGGUUAAGCACCGAAGAUUUGUUGCGCUGUGAAAUAAUCGAAUGGCUCGAAUACCUCAGAUGGUUAUGGCUUCCGAUUUGCAACCAUCAGUAGAGUAUAUACAAUGGUACUUUAGUUUGGGAAAACCAUAUCUACUUGGAGGGCAGUUGACUGUAGUCCCCCCGCACAUGCAACGACUUGGGGCAUACAAGCCAGUGAGUGAUAUGGAGGCGGAGCCAGCGGCAGAUCCUGAUCCCGAGCCGGAGCCCAAGCCAGAUCUCGAGCAAUAUUUUUCGAGCUUGUCAAGGGGCAAAUACCAUGACGAGUUUGAUAUCUUUGGAUCGUAUCCACCGCAGUACAGUACUCUCGGCCCGUAUCUACAACAUCAUGGCACUCCUUCCGGUUCAAGUUCAUCGAUGCUGUUCGAGCCACAUGAUUUUUCUUUCAUGUUUAGCACACCUUCACCUGCGCCUAAUGAUGAUAUUGGUCGUCACAAUCACCCACAACGUGAACGUCGACUUUCACAUACGUAUACCCCUAGGACCACACCAUCGAACCAUCAAUUUUAGGGGAAGAUUUUCUUUUUUGUACAUUACAAAGUUUGUACUUUUUGUAUAAAUUUAAUUAUUCUAAUUUUAGGUAUGAUUAGAACGGAACUUUUCUUCCCUUUUUGCAUUAUAUUAAAGCUGAAUUUAAGGUUAAAUAGCUCCAUUUUGGAUAUAAUCGGAAUUAUUUCAAAUGAAUUAUACUUUUUACAACUUAAUUUGGAAACCAUAUAAAUAAUUAUACUUUUUACAACUUAAUUUGGAAACCAUAUAAAUAAUUAUACUUUUUUCAUUAUAUUAAAGCUGAAUUUAAGUAUAAGCAUAAGCAUAAGCUGAAUAUAAGUUAAGGGGUGUUUCAAUAACAUAAAACAUUACAACAUUACACAUAACAAAUUUACAGCAUAAGCUCAAUUCCGACCCGAUCGUGACGAUUGUCCAACAUGAUAGUUUUCCUGCGGGCAUUUAUUCCGAUUAUGACCAAUUAACCUGCACAAUCCACAACGCUUACCGUCAGAUUUCUCCAUAAUGUCCAUUUCAUUAUGGAUUCUGGAUGCUUGCGGAUGACCUCUUGGAUUCCUGCAUAGCCCUCUGUCUGGGACAAUCUCGAAAAUCGUCGGAGGCACCUCCCACGUAAACAAGUCAGGCAGGACGGGGAACUCAUUUUCCUAGACACACAAUGUACGCUCGAGCGUGUACAUAUCAUCGACAAAUUGUUCAACAUUAAGGUUCACUUUAGCACACGCUGCCAUGACAUGUGCACAUAGAUAAUGAAGUGUUUCGAACCUCCUGCAGUCGCACUAUCUGUUCCGGAGAUCAACUCUAUAGGACCUAGGUGGUAUACCGGGUCGACGACCGAUUGUCUCAGUAACUCGAAAUGUUUUCAGACGUCGUGAAUAUAUUUCUACAUUCAUCGACCUUGCCAUUCGACGGUUUGCAACCAUUACAUCCCUGACAUCUUUGACAAACACGUGUCCUGCCUCCAUCUGGUUGACUUGUUGCUAACUCAUUCUUGGCAUCAAGGUAGCCAACCUAUAGAAUGUAGCCGAGAAGACAGAUGCAAUUAGAAGAUGUCGUGUUUUCAAUAAUACAUCGUUGACCCCCUCCACUAAGUUUGUGGUCAUUUGACCAUAACGAAAGCCCUCGUCAAAACUUUGAGCCCAUUGCCACGGCUCCAUUAUACCCAACCACUGUCAGAAAGAUGUAUUUGUUUGACCCUCCACGUCACUCUCAAGUCGAAUUAUUCUUUGGAGGAAAAUAUGUGGCUCUAACUCGUACGCUGUAUAAGUAUUAAGAAAAUAUAAGUUCCAAUAACUCGAUAACAUAAAACAUUACAACUUAUAUUGAAAAGAUAAGGUUAUCAUUUACCCAUUGCCACUACUUGUCUUUUCCAGUCUGUAUUCUUAUAAUCUCGAUGAAAGUUAGCUGCAAAGUGACAGAUGCAAUAAACAGAUCUCUAUGGCACACCGGAACGCUUAAUUACCGCAAUUAAACAUUUCCCUCUAUCGGAGAUGAUGUAAAUAUUAUCGUUGCUAAUAACACACCUCCGCAUGUUGGUAAGGAAGAAUUUUUAAGAUUCCAAGUUCUCUUUAUCUAAGAUGACAAAUGCUAUCGGGAGCACGUUUCUAUUGUCGUCUUGAGCAACCGCAAGAAGUAGGAUCUGUGUAUAUUUUCCAUAUAGCCAGGUCCCAUCCACCAGCACAAAUGGCUUGCAGUAGGGAAAGGCUCGCACACAUGGAUCAAACGUCCAGAACAUCCGAUAGAAAAUUCUUUUUCCCGAUUGUAAUUGGUCGUCCGGACCGUAAUAAGGUCUUGUCUGUAACUCAAUCACAGUUUUCGAUAUGUACUCCCGCAUAACAGCUAUCCAUCAUUGUAGCUCGUUAUACGACGAAUCAUAAUCCCUAUACAAUUGCUCCAUUGCCAGCUGUUUAGCUAUCCACGCCUUUCGAUAUGAUACUCGAUUCUGGAAUCGUGCUUGCAUUUCGGCAAUUAGUACCAAAACUUUAAUGGCCGUCAUGUCCUUCACCAUUGGCAUGAUACAUGUACAAAUAAUUUUUGAAUAAAGUUUUCGAUGAUCUUCUGUCAUACGUGUUGAUGUACAUGUAUGAGGCCUAACAAAUUUUCGUAUCUCCAAUAUCUGUGAAUUUUGAAUGAAUACAGCUCGUACCCGCCAAUUGCAGCAUUCCGCUGCCUUCUAACACUCUCUAAUAUAUAUUAUUGGUUUAGACACUGCGACUUUAUAAUCUACUGAUAUGUUCAUGCUAUACCGUUUAAUAUUAAAUACGCACUCUUCUUUACUUUUGAAUCUCUGGCCUACGAAUAACUCCUCAUUAUCAGAAUUUACGGCCAGUCGGUGAGCAGAAACUAUUUCAGGGUACUCCAGGAACUCAGCUACAUGCACUGCAUCAGGGUUUAUGAGUAACAUGUGUGGCUCAGGAUUAUUGUGUAUCAAAAUACGUCGCAUCUGGUUCUCGACCGAAGACGCAUUAAUAUUUCCAUCGUUAUUCACAUCUUCAUCGUCAAUAUCAUCAGGUACAUCAUCCAUAUCGGGAUCACUGUCACUAUCAACCUCUUGAUCAUAAUGAUCGUCACUAUAAUAUCCAUCAUCACCAACCACAUCAAUAUCGAGUGUAAUAUUAAGAUCGAUACCGAUCUCACCUAUAGUUGAUUAACUAUCAACGUACGAUAUUGGAGCCACCAUGCACGGUUCUUGAGCUCCGUGUUCUUCACCAUAUGCAUUGACAUCUUCAUUUUGCUCAAUACCGGCUAACUCAGCAAAUAAGUGAAUCGGUGCAUUUUUGUCACUCCUAUUCCUACAGUAAAGAGCGAUCAUUGUCUCUACGUCUUCGUCGUCUACAAGUUCCAUUUCGGUGAAUUUGAUCGGAUUUGUCGAAACUGGAAACUUGUAGAAAAUUUUUGAUAUUCUUCUCCCAUAAUGUCUAACAAUUUUUGCAUUAAUCCUUCCCUUCAUAUCAUCCAACGAGACAUUUCUAUUAAAUCUCAUUGCUAUUUGUUGCCGGCAUUCAAAUAUACAUCCAACAGUUGUUGUCAAGAUGAUUCCAUCGAAAUAAACGCAUACAAAAAACUUAUCAUCCAUCUUUAAUAUUCAAUCUGUAAAAAAAUAAACAAAAUUUUAAAAAACAUUUUUGAACAGUAAAUAAAUUACUUAAAUAAAAAAAGUAAUGUUUCAAUAUGUAAUUUUUUCAUUCAUAAGCUCAUACUAUUUCAGUUAUCAUUUUGUACAUGAACAACAUUUAAUCACUAAUCCUAAUAACUAACACAAUAAUAAUAAUAAUAAUAAUAAUAAUAAUAAUAAUAAUAAUAAUAGUUUUUUACUAAAAAGAAUACUAACUAACAAUAAUAAUUAGGGUUUUACUAAAAAUAAUAACUAAUAAUAAUAUAAUGUAAAAACUAACAAUCAUACUAACUAAAAUAAUAAUUACGGUUUUUACUAAUCCUAAUAACUAACCAUAUUAAUAAUAUUAAUUUUUUACUAACAAUAAUACUAAGUAACAAUAAUUAUUAAUAACUAAACCCUAAAAACUAACAAUAGUAAACUAACUAAAAUAAUAAUUAGUGUUUUUAUUAAUCCUAAUAACUAACAAUAAUAACUAAACUAACAACAAAAAAACAAUAAAAAAUAUACAAAAAAACAUAAUAACAAUAUUUUUUUAAAAAAAUACCUUAUUCUUUUAUAUUUUUUUCUUCUCUUUCUUUCUCCUUUCUCUAUUCUCUCUCUCUUUUUCUUUUAUUUUCCAGCACAACCCUCUUCUUCUUCUUCUUUUCUUUCUUCUCCUUCAGCUGAAGUGAAUUGGGGGUGAUUAUAAUGGUGCAGUGGUGCCGCCUCUACCACAUGCCCUCCACCAGGCUGUCAUGUUUUUUUUACCAUUUUCGUAAAUAAAAAAAUUUAUACUAUUUUAAUAUUUUUAAAUUUUUUGUAUUAUUUCAAUAAAAAACCCAGAAAAAUAUCUAUAAAAUUUUUACCACCGACAUUAACCUUGUAUAUAAUGUUGUGAAUGAUUGACUGAAAAUUUUAAUUACCACUAAAAACAGUGUCUUGGUGUGGGCUCUCCUGCCAUUGAAACUAUCUGCAUUGGGUUCAAUUUUUUUCUCAAUAAUUUUAUUUUGAAUUUUAAAAUUUUUAUUUAAAUUUAAUUUUUUUAAGAUGAAAAAUAUAAUAUUAAAGUAUUAGAUAUGACAUCACUGAAAAUUACGAUUAUGAUUGAUGUUUAGAUCCAUACUUUUUCUAUUUUCUACAAUGAUAAAUAUUAUCUCAAACAGUGGGGAAUGGUCUUCAUAAUGACCAUGCUUUGCCCCACUUCAAUCUUACAAAUAAUAAGACAAAUGAGUACUAGAAACAUCAUUUGUACAUGUCAUGUGCCACAUUUGAGGUUCGAAUCUACCACUUUUUUCCUUUUUUUUUUUUUUUUUCUCUUUUUGCCACUUAUUCUAAUAAACCUGCAUAGAUGGCACCCACCUUUAUCUUUACACUUUCAUUAAACACAUAUCUAAAUCUAAAUAUAAAAAUUAAAAUAGUUCAAUAUAUGCUAAAUUACAUCUUUCUCUUUUCGCACUAUGUAUCAAUCUAAUUUUUGUCUUUUUUUUUUAUAGUUUAAUUUUAAACGUUAUAAGUUUAUGAAUUAAAAUUUAAACAGUUCCUUUUUCUGAUUUUCAAUACUAAUCAUCAGAUUAACUCUGAUUUAAAAUAUGUUCUUGUACUUAUCGAUAGAUACUGAUCUACUAUAUCAAUCAUCAAAUUAUCGCUUGAAAUUUAUUGACAGAACUUUUUUAAAAAAUUUAAUAGUUUAAAUAAAAAUAAAAAUUAAUUUAUUAGUCAAAUUAUAACUUUUUUAUCAAAUGAUGAAAACAAAAAUUUAUUAAUGAAUAAUAAUGAUAAUUUUCCUUAAAUCAAAGAAUUAAAAACAUAGCCUUAGCAUUAAAUUACAAAUGAAGAGGUUGAUGUGAUAUUUCAAAGAAAUCCUACAGUAUGUGUGCAGGAGGCAGAGGCUCUUAUAUUGAGAAGAGGCCAGCUUCAUCGUUAAUUCCUAGGUAAGUAGCUGCCAGCUACUACUUUGCUGUUCUGCUCCUGCUGCCAACUAUCUAUCUUCACUUUCUUCUCACUACCUUUCUAUACCAAGGAAGACAGUGCAUUUGGUAGAUUUGAGUAAAAUAUUUUAGUUUUUUAUUUUUUAAAAUUAUUCUAUAACAAAUGAAAACUUAAUUUUUUUAAUAAAUAUAUUGAAUUGUGAUGUAAAUGAUACAUUAGCAUUUAAUUAAUUUUUAAAAUUUUAAUAUUUUAAAAAUGAUUUUAAAAAAGUAAAAAUCAUUACAAUUAUAUAAAAACAUAAAAAUUAUGUAAUUUUUUAAAAAAAUUAUUAAAUAUUGAUGUAUCAUUCACGUGUAUAUUAUGUCAAUAAAAUUAAUAAAAUUUAAUUUUAAAUUAGAAAAAUAAGGUAAGGUUAAAAUAAUAUUUUAAAUCGAAAAGAUAAAAGAAUCAUUAAUUUUAUAUGAAAUUCUGGAAAUAGUCAAACCCUUCAUUAUGAAUCUCUAAUUAAAGAAAAACAAUCUAUAAUUGCAAAUUCAAUGUACUUCCUUCUUGUUUGCUGUGUUAGAUAUGUUAAAGCAAGUAGCUAAUUGAAAGAUGGUAGAUCCAAAAGCAAAUGAAUUUUGAAUUAUUUGAGUAAUUUUUAUUUAUUAUAAUAGUGUAAAAUAAUAUUUUCAUUUUAUUUGUUGAAAAUAAUUUAAAUAUAUUCUUUAUUUAAAUGUUUAAAUGUUAUGAUAAAUUUUUAAAUUAUAAUUACAACAUUUUUACCAUUAUAAUUAAUAUAAAAUAAAAAUUAUUUUAUCAUUCAAAAAUGAUAUUAAUAGAUUUUUUUAAUUAUAUAAACUAGACAAAUUGAUAUAUUGUAAAAUCUUUGCUAUUAAUUUUUAGUUUAAUUUUAUUUUCUUAAUAAUCAGGUGGCCAAAACCUUCCCCCACCCUUUAUAAAAAUCAUUGGGUUGUUAUUUUUUUUUGUAAAAGUUUAGCUAACGAGCUUCAAAUUGAUUUAACGACCGAUACAAUUAAUUAAUAUUCAUUAAUGAGUAGAAAAAUAUUUAGAUCCAAGCCAACCUGACAAUCAGUGUAAUUUUUUAAAAUUGAGUGACCAAAAUAUAAACUUAUAAUUUAAUGACCUCGAGUGUAGUUUACCCUUAAAAAAACCUAACUUUCAUUCAACAUUUUAUUUCAUUUUCAAUUUGUUAUUUAUAAUAUUAUUUAUAAAGGUGUUUUUUUAAUUAUAGAGAUAAAUAUCAAAUUUAUACAUGAACUUUGCUCUAAUGUAAAGUUUGAUAAAUGAACUUUGAUUUGGUGUAAUUGUGCACAUCAAACUUGAAUAGUGAUUCAUUUGUAUACAUAAAACUUUGGAUUUGAUUCAGUUGUACACAUUUAAAAAAAGUUGAACAUAUACAUUUAUUUUCAUUUUGAAUUAAUAUAAUUGUUUAUGUAUACAAUAUAUCAACGUAAAAUGGUGUUAAUUCAAUAAAAUUUUUAGUGAUUUGUGAACAUUUAAUCAAAUUAAAAUUUCAUGUAUAAAAUUGCACAAAAUCAAAGUUCAUGUACGACAUUACACAUUACAUCUAAGAUCAUGUAUAAUUUUUAUAUUUAUUUCUUAAUUAUAUUGUUAUGAUUUAUUUAAAUUUGUUAUUAAUAAUGUUUUUGUGCAAGUUAUAUUUUUAUUUAUAAUUUAUAAUAUAGGUGAAUAUUUGGUAUUCUGGUAGUGUACUUUUAUUCUUCCUCAAUUAGUCUUAAAAAAUUGACAUGUGUCUUUUUUUUAAAUAAAUAUUUUACUAUACCUAUAGGACACUUGUCAAUCUCUUGACCCUAUUUGUAAAGUUUAAAAACUCCACUGACAGUUUACCAAAUAAUUUCUUUGUAAUAUUAGGUUUUAAAUUUUAGUAUUUAUAAGGCUAGUUAAAUAAAAUUUAUAUUUAUUCAUAAUAUCUAUUAUUUAAGUAAGUUUUAUUUACGGAUUUGUUUUUUUUUUAAUUUAUAUGUUAGGUUUUAUUUAUAAAUUACUAAUAAUAUUAUUAAAAUUUUAUAUUUUUUCAAGUUAGUAUUUAUUUUAUCUAUAAUUUAUAUAAAAGCAUGAGUUUGAAAUUUUUUUGAACUAACGAGAAUAUUAAAAUUUUUUAUUAUAUUACUAAAUUCACGUUUUAAAAUAAAAAAAAAGUUAAAGUAAAAUAGAAGUUGUGAUAAUUAUACAUUUAGAAAUAUUUAUAGUUUAUGGGAAUAAAUUAUAGUAGGAUGAUCCUAAAAAGCAUAGUUUUUAGGCACCAAUAAAAUAGUGUCACGUCAUAAAAUUUUAAAGAUAACAAAGUAUUAUUAUUCACUUGUCUAUAUCUAAUAUCUUCUCCAACUUAAUUUAACUUUAAUUAAAUUACUUAAAAUAAUUAAUUUUUUAAAUUAUAAACAAACAUAUUUUCUUUUGCAAAUUUUAAUCAUUCUAUUUUUUCCUAUAAGUUAAUAUUUUUUUAUUUUUGUGCAACCAAUUUUUUUUAAAAAAUAGUAAUUUUUCUGUAUUUUUUUCCAUGUCAUUAACAUAUAAUUUUGGUGAUUAUUUUACCCUAAACCUCAAACUCAAAAUCUCAAAUCUUGAACUUAAACCUUGAACCAUAGGGUUUAGGGUUUGGGAUUUAAGGUUUAAGUUUUGAUUUUGAGUUUUGGGGUUCAAGGUUUAGGUUUAGGGUUAAAGAGUUUGGAAUUUAGGGUUCAAGUUUAAAAUUUAAAGGUUCGAGGUUAUGAGUUACGAGUGUGGAGUUUAAGGUUCAUGUUCGUGGUUGAAAGGCUUUAGUGUUAUGGGUUCGAGUUUAGGGUUUGGGUUUAAUAUUUGGGGUUUAAGGUUUGAGAUUUUAGAUUUAGGGUUUAAUUUUUAAGAUUUUAUAUUUAGAGUUUAAGGUUUAGUAUUUCAGGUUUAGAAUUCAAGGUUACAUAUUCAAGUUUAGGUUUAAAACAUUUAUAUUUCAAGUUUAGGGUUUGUGAUUUUAGGAUUUAAGGUUUAGUGUCAAAAUAUAAAUGUUUAGCAUUUAGGGUUUGAAGGCAUGAAUUUAAUUUUAGGGUUUAGGUUUCAUAAUUUUGAGUCUAGGGUUUGAUAUUUUCAAUUUAAGGUUCAUGGAUAUUAGUUUAAGUUUAAGGUUUGGGUUUCCAUAUUUUGGGUUUUAGGUUUGGGAUUUAAGUUUUAGAAUUCAAGGUUCAUGGGUUUCAUUCUAAAUUCUUAUACAUUCGAAUAAUAAAUUAUGCUAUGCAUUUCUAAACUUGGUCUUCCACUGUCUAUACUCUUAUCUAUAUUUAUACAUUGCUAAACUUAGUCUUCCACUGUCUACACUCUUAUCACUAUUUAUCCCUUCUUGAAUGUUAGAAUUCGGAUACAUACAAGACUAUUCCAAUUAUUAGCAUCAGAGUAUUGGUCUAUACUUUGUCUACGAUUAUAUUUUUAAUUUAUCUUCGAUGAUGUUAGUGGAAUGCACUUAAUUUAGGUUUGCUAAUCCACCCCAAUUCAGGGUAAAAGUUACUCUUAUAGCUUCUAUUACGAGUCUACGGGACCCUAGUAGUUUAAAAAUUGACAGGGACUAAUUUGAAACAAUUCUGGAAGAGGAAAUAAUUACAAAAAAAUUGAUUUCAGGGGUCACACACCCGUGUGGCCAGGCCGUGUGCCUUACGCGGCUGAGACAUGCGUCCGUGUAACUCUCUGGAUUGGGUCUCACGCCCAUGUGUGUUGCCCGUGUGUGACACACGCUCAUGUGGCCAGGCCGCGUGCACCCAAAAGUACCUUAAAACUCAAGUUUAUCAUUUCCUAUUGACUUGGACACUAAGCAACUCAAUUGCCAAUCGUUUAGCCUAUUCAAAACACGAUUAAACAUGCCCAAAAUACACCAAAUUCAUCACCUAAUAUGCCUAACCAAUGUACCCUCAUUGGUACCACAUUUUAUAAAACAACACAUCAACAUUCAAGAUUUUCAUUCAUAUCACACUUACCAUAUUUGAACUAACUUUCAAACUUCUAAAGUUACCAAAUAUGAAGCUAAGCACAUACCAAGCAUUAUGCUAAGAUACCAAACUUUAAACUAUCACAUACCAAAAUAUAAACUAGGCUAGCAUACCAACAUAACCUCAACCACAACCAUAUACACAUUUAACCAUCAUUUCACUAGCAACUAAGUUAACAACAUCUUAUAAACGAUAUCAAUCAAAGACUCCUUAGGUACAUGCCAUUACAAAUUGAAAUAUCACCACACUUGAGCUCAGGAUUUGUGAUUUGAUACUAAGUCGGCAAAAUUCGAACAGUACCUAGCCUGCGCACGAAAAACAAAACCGCACGCUGAGUAAAACUCAAUGGUAUUUCUAUAAUCCAAAUAACAGAAACUUGAUAUAAGUAUUUAAAAUGUAAAAUGCAACAAGUAAGCUAUGUUCAUGUGUUUCAAUUAAAUAGUAUAAUUUUUUCUCAUUCCUUAUUCACAUCUACUAAGAUUUUCAUAUGUUCAAAUAUAUAAGUAUAUAUCAAUGGCAUUUCAUUUAACAUUUGAAUACAUCAUCUCAUGAAAUGGCAUGAUUCACAUCUUUGAUAAAUAUUUGAAUUCAUUCAAGUUUCAAAUCUCAAUUCAUCAUUUCAUAUUUCAUUUCUCGUCUCAUAAUCAUUUCUCAUAUUUGCCUUUUCAAUAUUUUCUCAUCUCAUAUUCAUUUCUCAUCUUUUCCAUUUCAAUAUCAAUCACAUAAAUUAUUAUUUUACUUUCCUCUAUUAACACGACACAGACUCAGAUGGAUACACGGAUUCAAUCAACACACCAAUUUGGCACCCAGUGCCUCAUCGAAUAAAUCCGAAGUAAUAAUUGCGCCCAACGCUAUAUAAAUUGACACCCAGUGUCUCAUCGGUUAAACUGAAGCAAAUUGACACCCACUGCCUCAUCGACUCGAGGUCGAAGUAAUCCUUAAACUCUUUCUAUCCUAUGACAUGCCAUCUAUAUUUGACUCAGCCCGAUACAGUUAAUAGUGUUUCAUUUCACUUUUCAAAUACAACCAAUAUCCAAUUUCAUGAAUAUAUAUCAUCACAUAUAAACAUAUAUUCAAUUUGAUAAUAAUCACAUUUUUCUCAAUACACAUAUAUUCAUAAUCAAUAUAUUUCAUAAUAUACAAAAUCAAUUCAUUUCAUUUCAAUUAUGAAUUUAAUUCAAUUCCCAAGUGCCAAAGUACUCACCUCAAAUGCUUACCAUAUGCAAACAAUUAUAUAUGCAAUAAUCUACUAUUUAAUUCGGAUUAUAGAAACACAAACCGUGAUUUUCGAGCUAUUCGACGUCGAUUUUAUCCUUCCCCUUUUUACUCGAGGAUUUCGGUACGACGUUAGCUAUGGAAUAAAACAAUUAAAUCAUAUUAAUAUUACACAUUUCAACUUCACAUUAAAUUUCAAUUUUCACACUAUAUUUUGCUUAUUCUUCAAUUUCGUCCCUAAAUCGAGACUAAUUUUAACCUUCACAAUUAACUUCAUAUUUUUAUACUAAUUUCACUCUAGACCACAUUUAGCUUCCUCUUUUCCAAUUCGACCCCUUAAUUUUGAAUUUUUCAUAAUUUAGUCCCUAUUGUUCAAAAUCAACAAUUAAUUCCACAAUUUAGUCCUUUUCUAUUUCUAACUUAAAAAUCUAUCUAUUUAAUCCCUAAUACUUAAACUAUUUAAUAAUGUCAACAUUAAAAUCUUGAACAAUACUAAAAAUUACAAUAUGAGUCGAAUAGCCCUAAGUACCAAAAUUCAAAAAAUAUAAAAAUUAAAAAAAAAAAAAAGAGACUAACAAUUGGAAUUUGAAAAUUUGGAGCGCUUGGUGCCGUCAGCCACUUUCUUUCUUUCUUUCUUUUCUUUUCUUUAAUUUGCAUGCAAUUGUUUCAUCUUUCUUUCUAUUUCUUUAUUAUGUUUUCAUUUUAUUAUCUUUAUUAUUAUUAUUAUUAUUAUUAUUAUUAUUAUUAUUAUUAAAGUUACUUUAAUAUAUAACAUAUACACAUGCAAAUUCAUUAAACCAUAACCGGCAACCUCCCACCAUUUUAAUAAAUGGUAAAUUUGCUACUUUAGUCCCUUCUAUUUCUUUCAAUCUAUAAUUCAACUUUUAACCCUUACGUGAUUUAGUCCCUAUACCUUAAUAACUCCUAAUUUCACAAAAUUCACUAUUCCAAAAAUUAAUUAGCUACCCAACUAACUUUGUAAAUAUUCAAUAAAAAUAUUUACGUGUCCGGUUUACGAAAACAGAGUCCCAAAAAUACGUUUUCUGACACCCUCGACUAUUGGAUCGUUACAAGAAAUCUAAGCUUAAAAUUUAUAAGAAAAAAAAGUUAAAUAUAAUUACAAGAAUAAUUAUUAGUUAAAAAAAAAUUGACAUAAAAAAAGUUGUGCUAAUUUUAUUAAUGUAAAAUAAAAUUCUAAACAUCUUAAUUAUCACUUAGUUAAUGUUAGAGUUAAUUAUGUCAAUUAGUUAUUAUUUUGAAUAAUGUUACUUUACAUUAAUUAUCUAAAGUAAAACUGUCACGCCCCAGAAUAUAGGAGGUUAAUUGCAUUGGAUAAACAAAAAGAAAUUGAAUAGACUUGAUGGUCAAGUGCUGCUCUCCUAUCUUAAAAGUCCUAAGUUCAAGUCUCAUUACUCUCUUAGUUAAAUAUGCUUGUUCUCCAUUGUUUACUCAAGUUAGCCCAAAUGUUUAAGAGUUAACCUUCCUUUCUUGUAUUCUUAAGUUCAAAUCACACCUUUCUCUUUUAUUUUCUUCUGAAAUUCGACCAGCUUUGGGGAAAUUGCAAGUGACACCCCUUACCAAAAUUCCAAUAGAAUUAAAAUUUCACCUUACUUUUCUUUUUAAAUCAUAAUAGAAUUUGCUCUCCAUUCUCUAUUUAUUUUCUUUCCCUUUUCUUUACAUCAUAUUUUCAUCCUACUUAUUGAUAAUUAUUUUGUUUUUCCGAAUUAAAUAAUCCUCCAUUCAAUUGUCCUUUCUAUCGGGUUUGAAAUUAUAGUUGAUAGCAUAUCUAUUCUCACCAAGAAUUGGUAAGUACAUCUCGUUUUCGAUGUUUAAAUCUCGAAUUUUCGUAAUAUUAUUAUCCAACAUAAAUCUUUUGUUCGAUCUAAACAAUCUUUUUCGGUUCUUGACAGAUCUUUCGACAAUCUUGUCAAAUAUUGAAAUCAACCAUUAAUUCUUAUGUAAAUAUUUUUUAAAGGACCUGAUUUAGGUGAAUCAGAUCAGAAUCGGGUGUGAGGAACGUUGACCAGACUCCCGGCGAAAGGCGUGUGUUUUUUUACAAGCGAACAAGGGUAAACCGUGUCUAGGAUUAGGGCCACAUGGUCUGCCAUACGGGCAUGUGGACUACGCGGCCCACCACAUGACCAUGUGCUGUAGAAACCCUAGUGUAGUUCAUGUACCACAUGACUGUGUCUCCCCUGUAAGUUAUUUUUGCAUUUCCCUCACUUAAAAUCUGACUUGGAGCUUGUUGGACUGCAAAAUAUCCUUCAGAAAUUGUGUCUCGUCCGGGUCGUGGUCACGACAUCAACACCUUGGUGUUGUGACAUCCUCGACAGACUAUGCAUUUAACUCAUUGAGUACUUCUAUGUUACAACAUUGGUCUUCAGUGUCGCAGCAUUGUCCUCAGGCAGGCUUUGACUUCUGCAUCUUUAGGGUUGUGGCUGGUGUUGCGACAUCAUUGACCUAAUGUUGUGACCACGAGUGUUGGUGUUGUGACCUUGCAGGCAGUCCUCUUGAUCAUGCCAUUCGGUGAACUCCAACUCCUUAGUUGAUCCAAAAAAACGUUGGUGUCACAACCUUAGUUUAGGCUCAUCUUCUCAUUCUUGCAUCAACUAAGUGCUUGAAACAAGCUCAACUCAAUUAUUAAGCUACUAAUGGCAUAUACUUGUCAUUUAUUCAGAAAAACAUUAAAAUGCGAUAAAAACUAGAAUCAAACAUGAAAUCUAUAAAAUGAAAAAAAAAAAACAAUAAAAGAUGCUACAAACUAUUCGAGAAUAAGGUCUUUAAGUGUUUAAAAAGCUUAAUUUGACACGUAUAUAAACGGGGCAGAUCAACUCUCGACAUUAAAAAGGUUACAAAUGUUAUGAACCUAUUGCUCAUAAACAUUUUAUUUCUGUUGAUGUAACCUCCAUAUUUCUCCUCUACAUCUGUAUCCUAAAAUGAAAUUGUUGAAGCCCUCCCAGCUCCUUUCUUCCCUAUUAAUAAUACACCUUCCACUAAACCUCUUCAAGUUUAUUCUCGUUGCGUCACUUCACAUGCUCCUAAUCUUCCUUCUACAAAUUCAAGUCAGGUAGCUGUCCAAGUGACUCAUCUCCUACACUACCAUCUUCUCCACCUCCGGUUUAGCCUCAAACGGAAGAACACACUCCACCUUUUGCUCUCAGAAAAGGUAUUCGGUCAUCUUGAAAUCGUCAUCCUAUUUACACCUUUGAGUUUUCACCGUCUAGCACCAUAUUAUUAUGCCUUCACCUUAUAUUUAUCCAAUGUGUCUAUACCUAAUAAAAUUAGUGCAGGAAAGACUGAUCAUGGAUGACAAGAAGCUAUGGUGGAAGAAAUGAAUGUUCUUGAUGCUAAUAAUACGUGGGAUCUUGUUCCCUUACCACCGGGAAAGACUGUUGUUGGAUGUCGAUGGGUAUACACAAUUAAAGUUGGUUUGGAUGGGAAGAUAGACUGGUUAAAGGCACGUUUGGUUGCUGAAUGGUUUUCACAGAUUCCUAGUCUCGAUUAUGGGGAAACUUUCUCGCCAGUAGCUAAAAUCACUUCCGUUCACCUCUUGAUCUCCCUUGCUGCAAUGAGUCAUUGGAGUAUUCAUCAACUCGACAUUAAAAAUGCUUUUCCUCAUGGGGAUUUAAAUGAGGAAAUUUAUAUGGAGCAACCGCCUAGAUUCGUUGCUUAGGGGGAGUCUAGAUUAGUUUGUUGAUUAAGGAAAUCUUUGUAUGGUUUAAAGCAGUUCCCGAAAGCUUGGUUUGGACGGUUCAGUGUUGUCAUUCAACAAUUUGGGAUGAAAAGGAGUGAAUCUGAUCACUCUAUCUUCUAUCUUCAUAACACAUGGUAAGUGCAUCUAUCUGGUUGCUUAUGUGGAUGAUAUUGCUAUCACAGGUGAUGAUCAGGAAGGAAUAAUGCAACUCAAGCAACAUCUUUUCGAAAAUUUUCGAACUAAAGAUUUGGAGAAAGUUGAACUAUUUUAUGGGUAUUGAAGUGGCAAAAUCAAAUACAGGCAUUGUGAUCUCUCGAAGGAAGUAUGUGUUGGAUAGAUUAGAAGAAACAAGAAUGUUGGAUUGUAAACCUGUUGACACACAAAUGGAUCCUAAUUUCAAGCUUAUUCCAGGACAGGGGGAGCCACUAAAAGAUCCUAGGCAAUAUCGAAGGUUGGUUGGAAAAUUGAAUUACCUUACUAUCACACGUCCGAAUACUUCUUUUUCAGUGAGUGUGGUUAGCCAAUUUCUUCAAGCUCCAUGUGAUAGCCAUUGGAAUGUUGUAAUGCACAUCCUUCGAUAUGUCAAGCUUCUCUUGGACAAGGUAUGCUGUACGAAAAUAAGGGAUAUACACAGCUAGUUGGAUAUUUAGAUGCUGACUGAGCAGGAUCUCCUUCAGAUAGGAGGUUCACUUCAGGAUAUUGUGUCUUUAUUGGAGUAAAUUUAACAUCAUGGAAAAGCAAAAAGCAAGAUGUGGUUGCAAGGUCAAGUGCGGAAGUAGAGUAUCGAGCUAUGGCUUUAGUCACUUGUGAACUUAUCUGGUCGAACAACUUCUUCAGGAGUUAAAAUGUAAAGUUGACAGCCGAAUGAAGCUAAUAUGUGAUAAUCAAGCAACGUUACAUAUUAUUACAAAUCCGAUGUUUUAUGAAAGGACAAAACACGUAGAGAUGGACUAUAUCACUUUGUCCAAUGAAAAAUUGAGUCAAAGUGUAUUACGGCUAGUUUUGUCAAUUCUAAUGAUCAUUUAGCUAACAUUCUCACUAAAUCUCCUAGGAAACCUUGGAUUGAGUGUUAAGAUACGCUAAGAUGAUUAGCAUAAUAUUAGGGAUUGUGAAUGUAUGACUUAGCGCGUCAAUUAGAAUCAUAGAGAUUUCCUUAUUUCAUAUAUGUUUUCAGUGUAUAAGUACUUCUGUAAGAAAGAAGAAUGCCCAAGGCAUUUUAUUCAGAAUUACACUUCUUUUCUCUCUGUUUUAUCAAACGACAACAACCUAAAUUGGUAGCAGCCAGCAACAGUUUCUUUUCUUCUCUUCCUCUUUUCUUCUUAAAUUAAUAAUCUCCGAUCUCAUACCGAAUAUCGAGCUUUGAAUUACGAAUUGAACUCAACUUUGUUAUAGCAUGAGGUCAACUUACCCUUAGCCAAACCACAAACAUCUGUGCAUAUUUCAACUUAAAGAUGUUAAAGCAAAGGCUUACAUUAUCAUUUUGAACUAAUAUUCUCUAUCAAGAACAUAUGAUCUUUUCAUGUUUUUAACUGUCAUUCUUGGAUAGCAGAAUCAGAAGAAAGGAGCAGAGGACUUCAAAGAUGCAAGUUGUUCUCCAUUGAAGUUUCACGAAAUCAAAAUACAAGAUCUAGACAAGAAUGUCUUCUUCAUCAUCAAAACUCAAAUUCAAUGUUUGUAACUUGAAUCCUGCGCCUUGUAUGAGCUCCACAAAAUUGGAUGCUACUCCGGUAGCUUGAACCGUAGUCUGUUUCGUUAACUGAGAAAGAUAAUAGAAGGGUCAUUGCUUUGUUGUAAGUAUUGCAAUCCCUUGUCCAUAUGUGAAGGCAGAAUGAACGUAUAGAAAACUCAAUGAAUGAACCAUGGGAUCGUAAAAGAAUGAACCAUGGGUCUCAUAAUGAAUACAUGAAGAGUUUCAUCAAGAACCAGCAAGGUAGAAAAAAAGCCUAAUAUUCUAUCACAAAUUCAAGUUUCAAAGAAGGUGGUUAUGGGAAGUGAUCUGAAAUCAUAAAUACGAUAUAUAUCAAGCAGCAAGUAAAAAAUACUCACCUCAACAGUACCAAUACCCUCAAGGACUUGAACCUUCAAAUCGGAAACGCCUUCUGCUCCCUACAAGGAACAAAUAAAUCAUCCUGUCAAUUUAGAUCAUAGUUUAUGCUCAAACAAAAUUAAACAACUUGCCAUAAAGAAUAUCGACGGAAACCUAGUUGUGCCAUUAAACAGACAUAUAAUUAGAUUUUUCCAGUUUUGUUCUUAGUGAGGGAUAAUACAAAAAGAUUAUGUAAAAUAUUUCUCUCUGCAAUAAGCCAUUCUCUAAGGGAUUGGGGGAAACACUAUAUAAGCUUGGGGCUCCGUAUAUAGAACAAGAAUUUAACUAAGGGAUUGAGUGAAACACAAAUAAGAAGUUAGAUUUCCCCCCUCCAUUCAAUCUGAAGAUAAAUCUAACAAGCUGCCUAUCAAAAUGAUCAUUUUGAUACCUCUAAUGCCUUGGUCACCUUCGGAAUUUCAGCUUCAUUCAACGUUCCAUCUGCCUUCAAAACAAACAAGAUCAAUUAUCAGUGACCUAUUCAUGAAUAGUUUCAAGGGAAGAAAUUCACAGACAAAUAUACAUAUUAACCAUAUAUACAAUUUCAAGCAAUACUAGUCAAAUAGAACCGAUUUUUUGCUUGAUUUCAAGAAUUCAAACUCUGUGGAAUACGUAACACAAAGAUGCACCCCUAGAGACUAGUCCUUUCAGGGUUGGUGGCUGCCUUUCCCGACAAUGUUGUCUCUAAAUUUCGAACUCAAGUUCGGGUGCAAUGUGAAUUAGCAGUGGAGAUUCUUUUAAGUGCUAUAAAACAUUAUACAUAUUUCCAGAAUUAAGUAACAAAUAUAAACUCAGAAAGAAGUUCAAGACCCAGCAUCAUCCAUUUGGAAAACAUAACAAUUUACCAUUACUUAUUAAAAAACUAACAAAGCAAUUUGAACUUUUACAUAAUUAAGUAGCAAAAUAGAAGUUAGAUCCCAAACUUUUAUCAUCACUCAACCAAAACAAUAUUUCAUUGCAUCAAAAGAGGGACUUUGAUAGUUCACUAAUAAAAGAAGCCAGCUCUGAACAAUGGUUCAAUUUUCCUUUUGCCAGACCAAAAUAACAUAAACAUUAUAAUAAUUGAAAAAAAGGAACAUACCUGGAAGUACAUUCUGAGAGUGUCUGAAGGAGAAACAGGAACAGAAACAGACUCUUGUUCGGCUACAGUUGUUUCUUCUCGUUCUUGUUCAACAACAGCUGUUUCUUCUUCUUCUGCAGACUUGAGUUUCCAAGUACCGUAAAGAGUUUUGCUGUUUUUGAAGGAUAAGGUUAAGUUGUUGGAAGAAAAGGUGGAAACUUUGGUCUGAAAAUGGAUAGAAUUUGGAUAAAAGGAGAGGUUUUUGGGAGAUUUAAAAUGGGUUUUGGAGAUUAAAUGCAAAGGAGUUGAAAAUGCUGAAAUUGUUGCCAUUUGGUCUUCAAAAUUUGUGCUUUUGGAUGAGAGAACUAAGAACUGUUAGUCGAUUGUAUUAUAUUAUCCGAAUUCUGAAGAAGAGGGGGGUUUUGAUUUUGUUUUCUGUUGGUGGAAAAAGGGUAUUACUUUACUGAGCCUGCUUGGACCAACCUUUUGGUAUGAGUUGGAUGAGCCCAUUAUUCUGCUACGUUAAUAUAUGUCACAAAUUUCUCUAUUUUUUAUAAAUUUGAAAUUUAAUCCUUAUACUCUUAUUUUUAAAAAUUUAUUUUUAAAUAAUUUUUUUAUACAAUAUUAGAAGUAAGAGAUAGAGGUAAUGCAAUCUAAAGUUGUUUGUCAAAAGCUUUAAUUACCGUCCCAUUAAGUCAAAAUACUUUAAGUUAUUUUAUAUUUUGAUAUAAUUAUAUAAUAUUCGUUAAAUUUUUAUAUUAACUUUUUAUUUCAUGUUUAACUUUUUUUAUAAGACUACAAUUUUAUCUGUUACUUAACCCAUUACUGCUGUUAAUACAAUAUUUAAAACUAAAAGCUUAUUAUUGAUCACAAGAUUAGCAAAUACUUUUCUUUUCCAGUAUUUUAUAAUUAGAACAAAGUUAAACUUUUAAAUAAACCUAGAUAAGGUGAAUAAAAAAUAAUUUAUGUAACAAAUUUAUAAAAAAAUUAAAACAAAAAUCAAAUGUGAAUUUAGUUAAAAUGGUAAAAUUAAAUUUAUAAAUGCAAUGACAUCUCAAAGUUCAAAUAUUUCAUCAUACACAUGUAUUUUUCUAUAUAUAAAAAUAUAAAAAAGAAACAAUACUACUUCAGCUAGGCUGAAAUGAGAAGAAUUGUCAUUCUACCUUCAACUGUCAGUGAUGGAACCGAUUGCAAUAGCUAUCAAUCAGCAAUAUGAUCGCCAUUGACAGAAAACAUUACGGCAUGCUUACAUGCGCUGUGGCCGCUUACAAGGAAUGUCAAGUCCACAAACAUUCCUACUCUCCAUGUAGAACCAUUGCAUGUAUACAUAGAGUUAUGUACAAUGUCCGGAAUUGUGAACUAAGUGGAGAUAAGAUAGUUAAGAUGAAUUAGCCUACCGAUCUGUCUUCUAGACAUUGUAGAAUAAUCGUUUCCGACUUUAAGUUCUAUCUCAAAGUCCAGGCAUGCAUGCAGCUAGUCAAAGACACCUAUCAACUGGCAGUAUCUUCAUUAACUUAGCAAGGUCGUACGACUUGAAGUCCUUCCCAUAACACAAGCUUAAAUCCAAGGCAGUUUUCCCAUCCUAAAAUACAUCAACAAUAGAACAUCAAAUUUAUCUAAUGCUAUGUUACUCUGGUUUUUUUCAUGUUAUUUGACAUAUUUGGAGGGUAUCCCCAUACUAAUGUCUCGAUCUACAUUAAAUAUAAGUGUCAAACACGAUUGCUUCAAGAAAAAUGAACAAAAAGAAGAAGUAUUUCUAAGUUUUUCCUAAAAAUAUGCGCCGGGGACAAGUACUUUAAAGAACAAAGAACUAAGAAACAUAGGAUCUUCCUGCAUCCUCAAACAAAUAUUCAACAAUGGACAUGGAAGAGAAAAUAGAUGAGUUUUCAUUUUUACUAUAUUGGUUACCUUGUUUUUUCGGGUCUUAUCUGCACCAUUGAUCAACAAAAUUUUAGCUAUAUCUCUAUUUCUACUUUGAACAGCAACAUGCAAUGGGGUCCAUCCAUCCUGUAAGAAGGGGUUACAAAAGAACUAAGAAGCAAAGCUACAAGCAAGAUAAAAUACGGGUCAAGAAAGUUUAAGAGCAACUCACUCGAUCAGCAACAUUGACAUCUACAUCGUACUUCAGCAAUAAUUUGACAGUUUGCAAAGCACCAACGUGAACUGCGUAAUGAAGUGGGGUAGCACCAUCCUGAUAUCAGGAUAAACAGAUGAAUUCAAGUUAAUUAUGUGUAAGAAUGGAACAAGCAGUAACAAGUUUAUGAUAGGAAAAUGUCACCUCACCUUAUCUUUGACAUGCGGAUUUGCACCUUUUCGUAAGAGAUGACUGAUUACAGCCUCCCUUUUACCAAUAAUUGCCUUAUGAAGAGCAGUGUGACCAUCCUGUCUGAUCAUAUCAAAAUUAGAUUUUGUAUUCUCCAAACUGGCAAACCAAAAAUUUAGAUAUGAAUAAGAUUUACCUUAUCCACCUCAUCGAUGUUUAGCCCAUCUUCAAGUAGCUUAUCCAUAGAAUGUAUCUGCAAUGAUAGCGCAAGCGUUUGAAGUGGCUUCCAUUUGUCCUGGAUAUCCGGGUCAAAAAAAGCUAAAUAAUCAGCCCAUAAGAAACAAAUAUAUGAAAUUAAAAUUAUUACAUAACGGAACAAGAUGGAAAGUAAUAGAAAUUACAGUAGAGAUCUUUCUCAAGUUAGGAGAGGCAUUCUGCUGCAGAAUUGCUUUUUCUUCGGGUCCCAAAAGCUGCUCAACCUCUGCAAAUUAUUGAAGAUCCUUAUGUAGUUCACUUUGCUAAAGAUAAUAUGUAUGAAAAGUACAUAAAAAAUAGUUAUAUAACAAGGAUAUCUGACAAAUGCAAUGAAGAAGACAACUAGUGCAAAUGAAUUAAAGGUAUAACUCCACACUUUACUGGAAAAUAAUGCAGAAAUCGGCUUAUGGUCAAUUAUAUUAGUUUGAAGACCUAAGAGUCAAGUUGCAACAUAAGACAUCAACCAACUAGACACCAACUGGUUUUAUAUGCAGAUUAUUAAUUAAAACAAAUAUUAUACCUUCACAUACAAAGGGAAAAAUUCAAAUUGAUCAUAAGAAAUAUACCAUUUUGCAGUUGUUUUCAGAUUCGUGAAAGACGAAAGCACUAUACAUUUCCCUAUCCAACACGGAGGAUAGAAAGAAAAAGUUUCCCUUAUGAUUUUACCAGACAAGAACCCUCUUAUUCAUCUUACACAAGGACAAUAUAAUGCCUGUGUAACUCGGACUUGGGUGUAAGUAUUGGAGAUGAGUACGGUAUGUUCAAUUUCCAUGCAUUUAAAGGGUCCUUAGAGGAUCAUAUCCUAAUACCGAUAAUGCAUACUUUCCCUCAUGUGUAGCUAGAAAACACAUUACCUGAAAACUAUCAUCUAAUCUAAUAAGUUACUAACCAGUAGCUCGUAAUAUCAAAUUAAUUAUGAAAACAAUCUAAAUUCCCAUCUAAAAUCUAACAGGAAACAUAAGUAUUUAAAGAAGUAAGUUCCUCUCCAAUCAAAAACACAAACCUUUGACAAGAUCUUCCUCAUACUGAUUCACUGUAUGGUUAUCAACAACUCCAACAGGAUUUCCUUGUUGAAAAUCAGACCCAUCAUUCUCUUCCACUUCUUCUUCAUCAUCAUCAUCAUAUUCACUUCCACUUCCAUCAUCUGGGUCUUCCCAGAUUCCUUGAUGGGUAUUUAAAGAAGCGGUUGAAGAACUUGAAUUAACCACAAAUGGCCUUGAAAAGGUUCCACCCGAAUUGCCCAAACUCUAUAAAGGAUUCGGAAAAUCAUCUUGUCAGAUUCGAUAAUAACUUACUCAAACAAUAUCAAAGAACCUACCAUUAAGAAUAUCGACUGAAAUAUAGUUGUGCAGCUAAACAGAUGUAUAAUUAGCUCUUCCUGUUUUGUUUUUGGUCAGGGAUAAUACAAAGCAAUUAUGUGAAAUGUUCAGUGACCUAUGAAUCAACAGUUCAAAGGGAAUAAAUUUGCAGACAAAUAUUCAUGUAACCGUAGAUAAAGUUUCAAGCAAAACUAGUAAAAUGAAACCAAUUUUUUCUUAAUUUCAAGAAAUCAGAUUCCACACAAUAAGUAAUAGAAAGAUGCAGUCCUAGUAAAGGUUCUUUAAGGUCUAUGAAAAACUAUACAUUUUCCAGAAUUCAAUGACAAAUAUAUUCAUCCAUAGAUAAAUAUUAAAGAACAAGUACUAAAGAAGCUAUGUUAUUACUUAAGUUCAAAAGCAACAUUUAACAAAUAUAACAACCAUUCUUCAUUACUUGUUCAGAAACCAGUAACGAAAUUGAACUUCAACAUAAUUUUAAGUAACAAAUAGAACUUAGAACAUAAAACUUAUAUCACUCAACCAACAAAAUUCCAGUACAUCAAAAGAGGGGAUUAAAUAGUUUACAUUCAGUUUUCCUUUUACGAGACCAAAAAAACAUGAAGCUACCAUAAACAGUGUUGAAAAGUAAAAAACCCAUACCUGGAAGUACAUUCUGAGAGUGGAUGUAGGAGAGACAGGAAGAGCUGCUGCUUCUUCUUCAGCAGAGUUCAGUUUCCAAGUCCCACAAACGGUUUUUCUCUUUUUGAAGAAUAAGGCUAAGUUUUUGGAAGAAAAGGUGCAAACUUUGGUCUGUAAAUGGGUAGACUUUGGACAAAAGGAGAGGCUUUUGUGAGUGUUGAAAUGGGUAUUGGGGAUUAAAUGUAAAGGAAGUGAAAAUGGCGAGAAAGUUGCCAUUUUUUUGUGCUAUCCGAAUUCGGAAGACGAUGAGGGGGUUUUGAUUUUGAUUAUGCUUUUUGUUGGGCCUUUUUCUCUCCAUUGGGAAAAGGGUAUUACUGUAGUCAGUGUACAUGUUUGGACCAAACAUUUGGUACGAAUUGGACAAGGGCCAUCCUUUUUUUCUAGUCUCUAACACAUUAACCAUUCAAUCCUCUGCACUGCAGCCUUUUAUUUUUGAAACCAAAUUGGCAUUUUGAUUUUGUAUAUGAAAGCAGUAUAUAAAAACAAGUUAACAGUGUCUCUAAAACAACCAACAACCCAACAUCCCUAUAUUCAGUUAGAAAGGUCAAAUGCAAUUCAACAAGCAUUUGGUAUAUCAUUAUAAUUAUUCAUUAUUGAAGGCACAUUUGAAGGUUAUUUUUUUUGUGAAAUUAGAGAUUCAAAUUAAUUAUAAUUUUGCAAGCCUUCAAACGUGUAUUUAACAUGAGGCUUGUUUUUGUUUUGUAGAAGAAAGAUAGUGAGCUCUUAUCUUGUUCAUUAAGGAGCCUAUACCACUAUUGAGUCGCCGGAGGACAAUAGGUGCAACGGAAUUUAAAAUUUCCGAGGUUGGGAAUUAUGUUAACCUCAAAUCUAAUAAUCCAAGAAGUAUUUUUAUGAUGAAUCAGUUCAGACAUUGUUAUACUAAUAUGGACUUAUACGUUGGCUCGAUGCCUUAUACCCAUGACAACAUCUUGUCGUUAAUCAACCACACAAUCUCAAUGUAUUAUUGUUAUCUCGGCCGGCCCACAAUAAUACUCAACUAAGAACAAUUUAAGAAUAGUCAUUUUAUUCUAGAGACUCUAUAAUUAAUCAAUUUAUUUAAUACAUAGAAAUAAAAGUUGAAUAUAAUAAUAGACAUACAUUUAUUAAUAAAAAUAAAGUAAAUAAGUGUGUUAUUACAAUCAUAUCAUGAUUGGUCUUAAACAUGCUCCAAUAGAUAAAAUCUCUAUUUAUGGAGGAUACACGAGUUUCUCCCACUAAAUCACCAAUAGGCAUGUCAUGCACGCUCAAUGCAUAUUUCCCCCAAUCUUGCAACAACAACCAACCCCUUUAUGACAAAUGACCAAUAAUGUGCCAUGAUGCUUAUAACAGGCAUAGCUUAGGUAACGUUUAACACAAGUCUCCAUGAAUCACACCACGUCAUUGAAACAAUAGUUACAAAUUCAAAAUUCAAAAAUUUCCUCAACAUUAUGACAUCUCAUACUACAUCAAAAUAGUGACCACCUUACUAAGUUCAUUGAUUUCAUGGGAAGUCAUUUUAUAACCGUCUUUUUUACUAGGGGACAAUUGUUACACAUACUUCACUUGCUGCCUUGCCAAAGAGACCAACUUGUUAGGAGGACCGUUUCACCUAGCACCAUACCUCGCUAGGGCUCAAGUUAUGCCAGCUCGACCACCUCAGCAAGAUUAUUGUCCCUCCUCAUUAACAUACCCUACAACCUUAUCAAAUCGGGUCACGUAUUAGACCUAACCAGCACCUAACCUAAACGAAAGCCUACCAAUCAAGAGAUGACACGUGGUUUAUGAGUGCCACCUUAAAUACUUUUUUGAAUCCCUGAUUUUGGGGUCAAUAGAGAUGUACGACUCUCUCCUCCACCUCUCUUCCUCCUCAUUCUACUCUAGCCUCUACUUCUUUUUUUUUAAUUACCACAAAUUUUUUAAUCACCAAAGUAACUUUUAAUCUAUUAUUUUUAAUUAAAAUAAAAAAUAAAUUUGCUUAGAAAACUCUCUAUAUAAAGUAAACUAUUCGUAUCUUUUAUAUAUAUAUAUAUAUAUAUAUUAAUAACUAAUUUUUUACCACCAAAAUAUUCCUCAUCUUUUGUUCAUUAUAAAGCUUAAUGUGGACGCCUCAAUCGAUGCUCAAGCUGGAAUGGUGGGUUUGGCCGUUUGGGCGUUAUCGCGGGAGAUAGUAAUAGAAUUGUUGUCUUUAUUAUUGUUUAGUUGAAAAGUGGUUUUCAAAAAAAUAUUUUUAGGAAAAAGUAUUGUUGAAAAAUGUUGUAAAAAAUUACAAUUUGUUAAUUUUUAGAGUUUUUUUUUAUUAUUGUCAAAAAAAAAAUACUUUUAGCUUCAAAAUUACUUUGAAAAGAAAAAUUGUGGCCGAAAUUUUUAGCUGUUCAGAAACACUUUUGAAAAACACUUCUGAAAAUGAGAAACUAAAAUUUUUAGCUUUUACUCUUCUAAAAAAAUUUUUGGUGCUUAAUUAUUUUUUCAACCCUCCAAUAACAUAGUACUUUGCCUUCUUUUUGUUUUCUUGAUAUUUAAUUAUAAAUGUGUUAAAAUCAUUAAUUAAAAAUAAAAAAAUAUUUUUUAAAAUAAUACAAAUGUGUUAAUAUCUAAUUAUAAAUAUUUAAUGGUUAUAUUUAAAUAUUUAAAAUAUAUUUUAUAUAUUCUAAUUAAAUUUUAUAAAUAAUUAAUAUUUGCUACUUAAAAAUAUUUAAAAUUUAUAUUUCAUAUAUUAAAAUAUUACCAAGUUAUAAUAAAAUUUUUUAUAUUCUUAUUAAAAUAUAAUAAUAUUAACUAAUUUGAACAUUAUUUAAAUUCAUAUUUGUUACUUGAUAAUAACAUGUCUAAUAUGGGCAUUUUAUUUCUCAAAAGAACUUUUUGACAGCAAUGCUAAACACUUAAAGCUUAAACCAAAUUUUUUUAUUUUAUUUUCUUUUACCAAAAGUAUUGCUAAACUAGCCCUAAGUUUGGAUGGACGAUGUGUUUACUCUCGGUAAGGUUAAAAACAGUGGUGGUGGUG